ACUUUUGAUUUUUAUUUUUACAAAAAAAGAACUUCAAAUACCACCCCAGUAUUUCCGCAUGUUCUCACUUUAGUAUUUUAUAAUUUAAACCGUAUCACUUUAGUAUUAUGUGAUUUUAUUUUUUUCUUUUCGUUAUCCUCUUUAUUAAUUUUUUUGUUAAAUCAAUAAAAAGUUAAAAUUAUAGAAUACUAAAAUAAAAAUUUCGUAAAUCACAGAAUAUUAAAGUAAUUAUUUGAUAAACUACAGGGGCAUUUGAAGUUUUUUUUAUAUAUAUUUUAACAGAGAGUUAAAUGAUAGAACGACGGAAAGAAAAAAACGAAAUCACAGAGUACUUGAAUCUACAUAGUAUUAAAGUAAAAAAGUGCUAAUCGGGAUAUUUGAAGUUUUUUAUUUUUCUAAUUAAAUUUGCCAAUCAAAAUUAGUAAUAAUUUUAUUAAAUUUGACUACUCUGUCUAUAAAUAUUGAUGCAAUUUUUUAUUUUUUUAUUCAAUUAAUAUAAUGAUUUCGAUAAAUGUAACUAUUUUGAAUGCUUUUAGUUGAUUAAACUGAAUAGCUGAGAGUUAAUGUCGUCAUUAAUUUUUAACAAAUUUUUAAUUUAUUCCAAAAAAAUAUAAUUUAAAUUAUUUAUAAUUAAACGUUAAAGGGAAAGUUAGAGGACCUAUUUCAAAUUUCUCUAUAAGUGAGGGGUCAGGAAAAAUUAGAGUGAAGCAGUGGCAACGACACGUGUAAAGCACGAGAGGGGCUUCGGUGGCAACGACACGUGUAAAGCACACCGAGUCCUCUUUAGCCGUUGGAUCAUCAAUCGACGUUGAUUACACGAUCAAAUAAAUUCCCCGAUUUUGGUUUAAAUAAUAUCUAUUCCGUUCGAGCUCUGAUUCUUCUGGAACCGUUGGAUCAUAAAUCGACGUUGAUUAGAUGAUAUUCUUAGAUACUUCAAAUCUGGGUCUAAAUUCGUGUAUCUGUGUUGGGCCGUACUUGGCCCAAUGGUUAAUUGCACGAUUGGUCCUCAACUUAUGAGGGCGUGACAUUUCGAUCCUCAAACUUUAAUUUAUUCUAAUUUCUGACUCAAACUAUCAGAAUUAAUGUAAUCAAGUUUCAUAAUCUAAUUUAGUCGACGAAAUGAUAACGCAUCGACACAUCUUAAUUUUUAUUAUAUCAUCAAUUACAAUAAUUACACACCACUUUUACAUCAAUAAUUUAUCAAUAUUAAGCCCUAAGGGUGGCAAUUCGGCUCGCUGUUAGUGAGCCAGCUAAUGUUCGCCUCAAAAUGGGCUUGAAAUCGAAUCGCUUAUUUAAAACAAGCCGAGCACGAACUGAAUUUUCCAGCUCGUUUAAUAAACGAGUCGAACGUGAGCUGGGUCAGCUUGCUCGUGAUCGGCUCGAUAACAGUUCAAAUACAUACAUAUAUAUAUACAUAUAUAUAUAUAUAUAUAUAUAUAUAUACACAUAUAUAAUAUAAAUUUUUAUUAUUUGGUUUUUAGUUUAACCUAAAUAUAAAGUCCAACUCAAUUAUAAAAAAAGUCAUUUAUUUGUAAAGUUUUAACUAUUAGAUCAAAGACAAAUGGAUAAGGUCUCAUAAAUUUAUUUUCUAUACGUAUUUUUCAUAAUUCUUUUAACUUGUUAUUCAUGAGCCAGCUCGUGUUUGGACACGAGCUGAAUUUUUCGGCUUGAUACUUUAAUGAGUCAGAUUGUAUUCAGCUCGUUUAUGAAACGAGUCGAAUAUGAGCUGGCCUCAACUCGCCCGUGUUCGGCUCGUUGACACCCCUAAUUUAGCUAACUAAAUUGGGUUGUGGAACUUGAUUGUUUUAAUUUAAAAAGUUCUGCUUAAAGGUUACAACAAGCUAGAGUUUGAGAACCGCAAGUGUUACCUUACCUAUAGUUUGAGCCUGUUAGUUAAUUCGCGAAUUACUGAAAAUUCGAACUAAACGGUUUAUUUACGAAUUUUUUUCAAAGAAAGAGAAUUAUUCGCGAAUUUUUGGGCGAGCCGAAUAAUUCGCGAAUUAUUCUUGAAUUAUUAAAAAUUUGAAUAAAAAAUUUAUAAUUUUUAUGUUUAAAUAUAGAUUAUUUUAUAUAUUAUAUCUUAUAUUUUAUAUUUUAUACCGAAUCCGUUUUUUAAGCCGAAUUUUUCAAUAAAUUUAAAAAUUAGAAAAUAAAUGUUAUACGUAUUAUACCCUUUUAGGCUGCGUUUGGUUGGAGGGAUAUCCCAGAACAAAGCGGGAUAUCCCUCCAAACACAAUGCAUUUUGGAACAAUCGGGUUGUUCCCGGCUUAACGGGUUGUUCCAGAAACAACCCGGUAAGCUUGUUCUCCGGAGAACAAGCCGGAACAAGAGAUUUGGGCUUUUUUUUCUUUUUUUUUUUCUGGCCUUUUAAUUUUUUAUACUUUAUUUUAAUUAAUUUCAAAUAAAUUAAAUGAAUGCUCAAAUUUAAUAAAUAAAUAUAUUAAUAUAAAUAUUAUUUUUAUGAUAAUAAAUUUUAUUAUAUAAUAUAAAUUAAUUAAAUUUGAUAUAUAUUUUAUUUUAUUAAGUUUUAUCAUUUAUAUAUUAAUAUUUAAUUAUUUUAUUUUAUAUUAAUUAUUAUAUACAUAAAAUUAUUUUUUCAUAUAUUAUAUAUAAUUUUUUAACUUGUAUGAAAUUUAUACUUAAAUUUUUAUGAUAAUUAUUUAUACUUAAUUUUUAUAUAUAAUAAUUAAAUUAAUUAAAUUUGAUAUAUAUUUUAUUUAAUAAGUUUUAUCAUUUAUAUUUAUGAUUUAAUUAUUUUAUUUAUAUUAAGUAUUUAUACGUAAAGAUUUAUCAUAUAUAUAUAAUAUUAUAUUAUAAUAUAUUAUAGUAAAAUGUACGUGCAAAUGCCCGUAAUAAUUAUUAGAAAAAGUUAUAAUUUUUUUAAAUUAUUUUUUAAUUUUAGGCAUAUUUUAUAUGAUUGCCAAAUAUGUAUCCUAAAUAAAUUUAAAAUUAAUAAAUCACGCUAUUAAGAAAGAUAUGCUUAAAUGAUAAAUAGUUAACAAUAAUCAUCUAAUGCAAAAAUUACUUUUGAAAUUAAUAGAAAAUAAAAUCUGUUAGAAAUAAAUUUUUGAAAUUAAAUAGAAAAUAAAAUCCGUUAUCUUUAAAAAAUAUAUAUUUUGAAAUUAAAUAGAUAAUAUCUAAAAAAAAUUUUAAAUAAAAUAGAAAAAUAUCUUUUAUAAGAUUUUCACACUCGUAAUCUGUUAUAGAAAACUUACUUUUGAAAUUAAAUAAAAAAAUUUUAUAUUUUAGAAUUUUCACAUCUCUAAUCUGUUAUAAGAGAACUUACGUAUUCAUUACUGUUUUUUUUCUAUUUUUAUUCUUAUAUUUAAAAUUUUCGUACGAAAAGAGGAAAUGGGCGCUAAUUUUUCCGCCGAAAAAUGGGUCUGUCGAUCAGACCCAAAUUUAAAUAUACGUGCUUUUAUAUAAGUAUAGAUAUAUAUAUAUAUAAUUAUAUAUAUAUAUAUAUAAUAUAUAUAAUAUAUAUAUAUAUAUAUAUAAUUGCAUUGAAUUUAUACUUAAAUUUUAUGAUAAUAUUUAUACUUAAAUUUAUUAUAUAAUAUAAAUUAAUUAAAUUGAUAUAUUUUUUUUUAUUAAAUCUCUAUCAUUUAUAAUUUAAUAUUUAAUUAUAUAUAUUUUUUUAUUUUAUUAAAAAUUUAUACUAAAUUUUUUUUUUUUUUUUUGUUUAAUUAAUUAAAAUUAGAGGAUAUUGUUAGUACUAUACUUUAAUUCAUUAAUAUAUAUGAAUAAAUUUAUAGAAAAUAAUAUACAUAAAUAAUUAUACAUAAAUAAAUUAUUAUAUAUAAUAAAAUAAAAUAUAUUAUUUUAAAUUAGAUUCUUACAUAAAAUAUUAUAUUAUAAAUUACUAUAUGAAAUAAUUUUAUAAAUAAUUUUAUAUAAAAUAUACUAAUAUAAAUUAAUUAUUUUAUUUUUAAAAAUAUAUUUAGACGUUGUUCUAGACUUUUUAUCCAAACGCUAUUAAGGAUAUCCUCUAGAAUAUCCUCGAAUGCAUCCAAACAUAAAUUCACAAUUGUUCUAUCUUAUACCGAAAUAUCCCCUGUUCUCGGGAACAACAAAAGUUGUUCUCCAAAAUUUAGUUCUCAGUUUUACUGAAUUUUUGCCGAAUCCAAAUUAACUCACCAAACGUGCAAUCUACCCUUUUUAUUUGUGAGGGAAAUAGACUGUUGUUGUUCAUUGAGCUUAAUUACAGAAAUUACGGCUUAGUUUGGUAUUACAAAGAAAUUGUAUUUAUAUGCAAUGAAAAAGUGAAAAAGCUGAAUGAAAAAAUAUUUUUGUUUCCAUACGUAAUAUUAUAGAAUACUAAAGUUAUACUAAAGUGAUUAUGAAAUAUUUUUUUUGUAGUUCCACAAAAAGAGAAAAAAGCAAAUCCCUACGCACUUUAGUCCCAAAUCCCUUUUGCCCAAUAGUGCUGGAUGGGCCCCAGUAUGCAAGGAGGAGAUUAUAAUUCAAAAUAAAAGAAAGGCGAAAAACGGCAAUUUAGGAGCCGUUUGGUUGCAUAUAGCUGCAACUGCACUACAGUUAUAAUUAUAUAUAAAUAUAAAUUUAGUGUUUUGUUUAAUAUACUUAACUUCAACUGCUGCAGUAGGAACUACAGGAGAAGGUCCAACUACAGUAGUUAGAAUUAUGCACAAAUUGGCCGCAAUUCCAACUGUAGCAAUUGAAGAGAGUAACUUUAAACAAAAUAUAUGCUGACCUCCUUAAUUAUUUGUUAAACGAAAAUAUUUUUUUUCACAUUGGAAGUAAUUUCACCAUCAUAUAUAUAUAUAUAUAUAUAUAUAUAUAUAUAUAUAUAAUGAUAAAAUUUUAAAAGUUAUUUUUCACGUGCGUGCAACCAAACAAUUUUUUUAUAGUUGCAGCGCUUUCUACUACAUCAAAUUAAACAGGAUAUAUAAAGUUACAAUUAUUGUAUUUUUAAUUACAUGUGUUUUUAACUAUACUGUAUUUAUAAUUAAUUUUCUCCAAUUUCAAUUAAAUUGGAGAAAAUUAAUUACGCUAGGAGCUUGACGUAACUUAAACUCAGAACCUCCUGCUUUGAUAUUAUAUGAAACAACCGUUGUAUUCUAAAAGCUUAACCUGUUCGAGAACGAUGUUUAUAUAACUUUGUAUUUAAUAUAGAUUGAGUUGUAUCAUAUCAAAUUAAAAUUUGGAUAACAAAGUAUCAGAGCUCACAUUAAGUUCUUUACCAACAUCCACCAUGCAGAUGAAUAGGAAUAAAUUACAUUCAUCUAACUUACACCAUUUAGGUGAGCGAAAAAUAUUAAAACUAGCUCUGAGAUGUAUCUGGCCAUAUGGAUCUUUGGGGUUUCAAUUGGAAAUAUCAACGGGUUGGAUUUGGGUGAAUUUUCAAAAAAUCCGUAUCCGAACCUAACUCCAAAUUCGAAAUCCGAAUCCGACUGGUUUUAAAAAUUCAUAUUCAAACCCGAGCCCGACCAAAAAUCUGAAAUUCGAACCCAAACCCAAACCCGAAAAUCCAAACCUGAAAUAAUUAUUCCUCUUUUCAAUAUUUCAAAAUAUAUUAUAUUAUAUCUAAAAUUUUAAAAUAUAAAUUCAAAUAUAACAUCAAGUUUUUAUAUACAUAUAAUAUGUAAUUAAAAUAAAUUCAGGUUCAAGUCGGGUUCGGGUUUGGGUUCAGGUUCGAAUUCGGGCUGGGUACAGUCAAAAUUAAUAUCCGAAUUCAUAUCCGUCAGAUUUUUAUUUUUCAUAUCCAUAUUCAAAAUCAUAUCCGUUUAGUACCAGAUAAAUCUACUCCCGAUUCGAAUUCGGAUAAAGUUUUGAACCUCCGUAUCCGUUGAGAUCCCUAGUUUCAGUACCUUUUGAUCCCAUCCCACACCUUUUUAAGGAUUCAUUUAAUAUUCUAUUUAAGAUGAUGACCAAGGACAUGAAAUGAAGCAACAAUAAAUGGAGCGAAGUUUACAAAGUUAACCCUAAUAAUCCAUGUUAAUAACAAAACAAAACCCUUCUCCUACAAAUAUGCAAAUAAUCUAAAAGAUGAAACCAAACAAAAUAACCCAAAAUACAAAUGAAUAUGAACACAAAAUAUAGGACAAAACAACCCUAAAUUUUCAAAGUUUGUCUCUUCUUGUAAUUAAAGAUUUGUAUUGUGAGUUGUGAGUACCUCUUUGUGAUCUUCUCCACAUGUAUUUUGUGGAUAAAUCCAACUUGUUUGUAUCCCAAGUGAUAUCACCCCCUUUUUUUUUCUUUUCUUUUUUUUUUCUUUUUUUGCUUCUCCCCCAUUCUCAAAAAUUCUUAUCAUAUCACAACUUCAUAAAAUGGUUGAGAAGAUCAUGUGGAUGGAAACUUUUCAUGUACACAAGUUUUUAACUCUUCAUGGCAAUGUAUGGACCAUGCAAAUUGCAAUUAUGUGUAUUUUAGUCAAAAUAAAACUAUUCGAAAAAGCACCAAAAUUAUAUAUUUAUUUGCUUUUAUCUAAGCUUUAAUUUGCUUCUCAAAUUUCCCCCAUGGUGAUUCAAAGUUUCAAACUUUCCAAAAUACUUUUACUUUAGUCUUUGUUCUCAUUUACUAGUAGUAAAGAAUAACUAUUUUUCUGUAGCUGUCGUAUUAUAUAUAUAUAUAUAUUUGUGUACCAUAUAUUUUAUAAAUCUACACUCCCCCAGAUAAAAGAUACGACGCUAAGAUGGUGUUCUCCCUGAGAUGCAUUGAAACGCAGCAGUUGACUGGACAUCUAGGCAUAAAGCACUGUUUCGAUGCGAGCUACGAGAGCACUACCAAAUCGAGGCAAAUUCUGAAUACUAAUACCUAAAUAUUAACAUAUUAAAUAUAGAUUUUUUUAAAAAAAAAGGCUCUAGAAAGGUAUUACAAAUUAUGUUACAAUCAAAAUGGCUUUUCUGUAUAUGAGUUUAUUUUUUUUAAAAAAAAAUAAUUACUUUAGAAGCUUCAAUAGAAGAUUUUGUUUUCUUUUGGCAGGGCCAAAAGCUAUUUGGCCAAAAGCUAUUUUGCUUUUAGUAAUGUUUCAAUAUUUCUAUCAUAAGGAGCAAAGAAAAGUGCUCCAUUAUCCAGCUUAAAAAAAAAAAAAAAAAAUCACUUCUACUUUUUGAGUGUCCCAUACUCCCAUGUGCUUCUCUUCUCUCCUUAACACUCCUCACAUUACCACAUGUGCAAAACCAUGCUCUCUUGUAGUUUCUCUCUUGUGCUUUUCUUUUUUCUUUUUUUUUUUUUUUUUUCCCCACCAUUCUCUCUUUUUUUAUUUUUUAUUUUUUUGCUAAAUUACACUUGUAGUUUUCUAGGCUGUAAAAGCUGUGACACUUUGGUCAUUAGUUUCCAAGUUUUAGUUUGUUAUAAUUUUUUAUUUAAAUUAUUUAAACUUACUGUAAUCAAAUCCCACAACUUAGAUUAGUUGGUUAAAAGUUAGCGUUCCGCUGAUGUGAAAAUAAUAUGGUAAUAUCAUAAUUGAUGUCACAACAGCAAUUAAAAUAUCAUAUCUUUUUCAAAUUAGCGACACGUUAAUAUUUAAUCAACGAAAUAAAAUUAUUAAUCUCGAUUGUAAUAAUUUUUAAAAAAUAAAUUAUAAAUUAUAAUAAAUCAAAAUUUGAAAACUAAAAUAUCAUGCACCUAGUUUCUUUUUUUCUUUUUUCUUUUUUUGAGAGAGAAAGAUAGCAUGCUACCCGCUUCGUUUAUUUCAUUUAGAAAUAAACUUAGCUGGAAAUGUGAAUCAACUAGGAUUCGAACUUGGGUCUCGGAUACCAACCACCAAAUUCUUUGCCACUUGCACUUGGGACGGUCGGUGUUUCUAUUUUUUACUUCUCCUCAUUCUUUACAAAUAAUUUUGUGUUCACCGAACCGACUGUCCCUAGUACAAGUGGCAAAGAACUUGAUGACUGUUAUCUGAGAUUCCAAGUUCGAAUACUAAUUGAUUCGAACUUGGGUCUCGGAUAUCGACCACCAAGUCCUUUGCCACUUGCACUAGGGACGGUCGGUGUUUCUAUUUUUUACUUCCCUCAUUCUUUACAAAUAAUUUUGUGUUCACCGAACCGACUGUCCCUAGUACAAGUGGCAAAGAACUUGAUGACUGUUAUCUGAGAUUCCAAGUUCAUAUACUAAUUGCUUUAUACUUUUAGUUAAGCUUGUUUUAAAAAAAAUAUAAACGAAGCGGGUGGGCGAACUGUUUAUCCAGUGGAUUUCAUAUUUUCAGUUAAGCUUGUUUCUAAAAAAAUUUAAACCGAGCGGGCGGAUGAACUGUUUAUCUAGUGGAUUUUAUAUAUCUAGCUUAUUUUUAAAAAAAAUAAAUAAAACGGAUGGACAAACUAUUUACCCAGAAAUAAACUUUAUAUUUUUUAUUAAAUUUAUUUUUAAGAACAAUAAACGAAUCCAGACGACGAACUGUUUAUCCAGUGGGCUAGGGCUGAAUCUAGUUUUCAUUAAAAGGGCUCUUUUAUUGCUCUGUAAACUCACAUGCACUCUCUCUCUCUCUCUACUGUGCAGUAAUCUCUCUGCUCUUUUCCACCCUUGCAGAUGCUGAUACUCUGCUCUCUCUCUCUCUCUCUCUUUUUUCCAGUUUCUGUUCCAGUUUCUGAUCCCUCACACACUCUUCCUGAGCUGCUGGCCUGCUGCUCCUCUCUCUCUCUCUAUCUCUUCUAAUCUCCUAACCACACAUCUUUGCUGCAGAUCUUAAUCUGGUUUUUCUCACUUCCUCUUCUAACUCUCUCUCUUUCUCUUUCUCUUUUUUUUUUCUGCUUCAAUCUCACACACAAGAAAAGAAUGUUGGGAGUGGAAUCAGAAUUAGAGAUAAAAGAAGAUGAUACGGAAAAGAAGUACUCCUACCAGUUUCCUCUCCGGUGGGAGAGCACCGGCGACCAGUGGUGGUUCGCCUCCCCCAUCGACGUCGCCGCCUCCAACGGCUACCGCGCCGUCGUCCGCGAGCUCCUCCGCCUCGACCCCAACCUCCUCAUCAAGCUCACCUCCCUCCGCCGCACCCGCCGCCUCGAAUCCCUCUGGGACGACGACGCCGUCGCCGGCGCCGGCGACGGCGACGGACCCGCCCAUCGCCGCGCCUCCGUCGCCCGUGGCCUGUUCCUCGAGUGUGAAUUGAAGGGCGUAACAAUGAACGCGCUCGUGCGCGCCGGGUAUGGCGGGUGGCUGCUCUACGCCGCGGCGGCCGCGGGCGACGUGGGCUUCGCCCGCCACCUGCUCGACAAAAUGCCGCUGCUGGUGUUCGGGGAGGGGGAGUACGGGGUGACCGACAUGCUGUGCGCGGCGGCGCGGAGCGGGGAUGCGGAGGUCUUCCGGCUUCUGCUCGACUCCGCUCUGUCGCCGAGGUGCUCGAGCUCCGGCCCCAGAGAACCGGAGCUGGCGAACCGGCCGGAGGAGUUCCGGCGGGAGAUUGCGAACAGGGCGGUGCACGCGGCCGCGAGGGGCGGGAGUGUGGAGAUUUUGAGGGGGCUUCUCGAGAAUUGCGAGGGCGGUGGGGAUGUGUUGGAUUGCAGGGAUGCUCAGGAAUCGACCGCGUUGCAUUCCGCGGCCGCGAGGGGGCGGGUUGAGGUGAGAUUGUGUGCUUCUAUUGCUCCUCGUUCUUGCUAUAACAAUACUUCGAUUCGAAUGUUAAUUGUAGAAUUGUAGGAUAAAGUGUAAAGAUAAUUUAUGCACUAUCCUAGCAUUGGCCUUGAACUUACCCAUAUACUGGGGGGAAAAAAAAAGAGAAAGUGGAAAUGGUAAUUUUGUUAGAUAAAAGCAUAGGUUUCUUUGUGAUGUUUAUGGAUGGAUGCCAAUCUAAGAUAGCGGCGAAGACUAGAGUGCUUAAAUGAAAAGUUCAGGAACUAAAUCACACUACGAGAAUUCCAUACAUUUUCUUCUUUAGUUGUAUCUCGAAGAUUGUAUGGGUUCCUUAGUUGCUCCAUUUCGGAGUAGUUUCGUGCCGAGAAAUAAAAUUAGCAAAUGCAUCAAAUGAAAAGGUGACAAAUCUUUGGCUAAGAAAAGUCUCCAUUAAGAUGUGGAUGGCGGAGUGACGCUGAUGCCCCAAUUGUCUAUAUUGAAUAGAAAAGGGAUUAUGGUAGGGAAUAGAAGGACUAUGGACAUUAAUACUAAUAAUUACGGUUAAGCAUUUUGGGCUGGUGGUUUGAGUUCAACAAGUUAUUAGUGCCAUCGGGUCGGGUCAUUAUAUUUGCUAUCAAAGCCAGUUUGCCAGCUGGCAGUGUGAGGGUGGUCUCACAUUGUUUGGUGAUCUUGGGCUAAGGAAUCGUCUCCGACAAAAAUGUCGGGAUCUAAACUGGUGGUCUCAUAUCAUUUGGUGGUCUUGGGCUUGGGAACUAAACUGGUGGUCUCACAUUGUUUGAUGAUCUUGGGCUUGGGCUAGGGAACGGGAUCUGGCGAGAAUGUUGGGAUCUAGACUAGCUAGGGAAUGGGAUCUAAAAUGACGGUCUCACAUAUGUUUGGUGAUCUUGGGCUAGGGAAUUGGAUCAGAUGAUCUUGGGCUAGGAAAUCGUCUCUGAAGAGAAUGUCGGGAUCUACAUUGGUGGUCUCACAUAGUUUAGUAAUCUUGGGCUAGGGAACUAAACUGCUGGUCUGAGAUCGUUUGAUGAUCUUGGGCUUGGGCUAGGGAACGGGAUCUGACGAGAAUGUUUCACUUAUUUUUUGAAUCAUCACUUCUGAAAUGCCUAUUUAAUCUCCAUGUAAAAAGUCCAUAUGUUACUUAUUUAAUCUCCAUGUAAAAAGUCCAUAUGUUACUUACAUUGCAAUUAUACGUGGAUAUUGUUGUUUUAUUCUAUGCUAAAAUAGUUACGAACGAAAUUGAAACUAUACUAAAAGGUCGAGAAUCCUCAGUGCCUUUUACACAUAAAGAAAAUAACCAUAUUCCAUCGUUAAGCCAUUCAAGUUCAUUUUUGCAGGUUGUGAAGUAUUUACUGGCUUCUUAUGACAUAAUCGACAGGAGAGAUAACCAAGGCAACACUGCAUUGCAUGUUGCAGCAUUUCGCGGGCACUUAGCGGUUGUAGAAGCCUUAAUCUCUUCCUCGGCAUCGUCCUUACCAUCGCUAACCAACAAUGCGGGGUAUACAUUUCUUCAUAUGGCGGUGGAAGGUUUCAGGGCUCCCGGUUUCCGAAGGCUCGACCACCAAAUGGAUCUUAUGAAGGAAUUAAUAUCGGGAAAACUUGUAGAUAUUCAGAACAUUAUCAAUAUUCAAAACAACGAAGGCCGGACCGCCCUUCAUAUGGCUUUAAUUGGUACCGUGCACUCCGAUCUUGUCGAGCUCUUAAUGGCCGCUCAAUCGAUCAAUCUCAACAUUCGGGACGUCGAUGGUAUGACCCCAUUAGAUCUUCUCAGAAAAAACCAGCGAUCUGUAUCGUCUGAGAUUUUGAUUAAGCGAUUAGUUUCUUUUGGGGGGAUCUCGAAUUCAAAGGACUACAUCGCAAAAUCGGCCAUUGCUUCUCAUUUUAAGAUGCAUGGUUUAGGUAAUAGUCCUGGUACUUCUUUUAGAAUCUCGGACGCUGAGAUAUUCUUGUAUGCGGAUAUUGAAGCACCGGAGGACAGUGGGCGAGCUACACCGGAGGACAGUGGGCGGCUUAGCUCGUGCUCGAGCGCGUCGCAGAGCGAAAUUUCACAAUUUAGCCCAAACGGUGAAAAGUACGAGUCCUUGAAGAAGAAGAAAAAUUCCUUCUACAAGGUUCUUUUGAAGUGGCGUCAUCGAAAGGGCAAAAAGUCGGAGAAACUAAAGAAACUUGAAGAAGAAGAGUCGUUGGAUUCGUUCCAGAAAUGGAGUCCAUGUGUCAAAAUCCCGACUCCUCUACGGCAACAGUUCUGUAAGCCGACCUCGCUUCUCAACAACAAACGAACUUACGCUAUUAAUACUUCCAUGCCAAGUCCAGACACAAUGAAGAGAUUCGCCGCCAGUUUGAGCCACGGCGUGAUUCAGCCCACGCCGGAUUUGGCUCGCACUUCUCGCUCACCAUCUAGCUCCUUUUCGAGAUCGCCGAUGUUGUCGCCGCAUUUUGACAAACCGAAAGGUGACUGUUUUGACGACGAAAGAAAUGGUGUUGUAGCCUCUUGCUCGAAUUCGCCGGCAAAAAGUGGUAAGCUGAUGAACAAGUAUUUCUCGUUUGGGGCGCAAGGCUCGAACCGCAAGUUCGAGCGGUCGGUUCUCUCUGCAGCUUGACGCACCAGUUGGAAGAGGUUCUUGAAUCAUGAACUUCACUCGUAGAUGCUCUAACAUGGUCCAUUAUUUCCUUUAACUUGUGCUUUUUGGUAUUUCUAGUAUCAUCAUCAUCAUCAAAGACAUGCUUGUAUUGUAUAUGUGUGGUAUGUUUAGAUGCAAUGAAGCUACAAAUGUUGUAUAUGGUGGCUGAUAAUAAAUUGUAUAUUAUCCUCCCAUGUGCUUGGUGCUAUCUACUUUGCCCGUAUUUCGAUGUCGGAAUAAGUUAUCCAAUGAUAUUAUCACUCGUGCAGUGCGAGGAUUUUAUUUCGUAAUUGUAAUCUAGGAUAAAGAUAGGUGAUUUUGUUGAAUAUACGUAAUAUUCAAGCACUACUGUUUUGGCGCUCUCUGGCAGCUUAAGUUUUUUCAGAGACAAGCGAUUAUUUUAUAUUAUUUUUACAUGGUAUCAUAGCCGUAAUUUGCCGUAUUGCGAAAGACAGGUGAUUUUGUUGAAUAUAUCUAAUAUUCAAACACUAUCGUUCUGACGUUCUCUGAUAACUUAAGUUUUUUAGGGACAACCGAUUGUUUCAUAUUAUUUUUACGUGGUAUCAGAAGCAGAAGUCCCGAGUUCGAAUUCCACCAGCAUGGUUGGGCCACAUGAGUUGGGUCUUAAAAAACAAAACCUGGAUUUUGUGAUUAAUUUUAUUUAAAAGUAAAAGCUCUCAAAAAUUGAGAAUAUGUCAUCAUUGAAAAGCAAAAUAAGAUCCUAAGCCUGGAAAAUAAACGCUUCAUUUUUUGGUGCUUCUGAUUCUGAUAUAAAUUCUUUUAAAAAACUUUAAUUUUUGUAAAUAUAAAUAUAUAUAUUAUUUUUCGACGGCACUAAUCCAAUAGUACUCUAUCAACAAUUUUAUUAUUAUAUACUUUAUAACCGACCAAAUAAUUCCUAAUUUACUUAUCGUUACAUAUUCAUGCAAAUACUUUUGAAUAAUAUUUAAAAUUUUAUCCGAAUCGGAACGAGACAGGUUUAGCCGAUGCUAAACCAAUUUUGUAUUAAUAAUUUUAAUUGAGGUGAGGGGCCUAUUGGACUAGUAGGUAAAGUUGAGGGGUUGUAAAUAUCAAAAUUGAAAGUUGAAGAAAUUUAUAAUAUAAAAUAAAAAUGUUUAGGAACUGAACAGAAAUAUUAUAAUAGUUCAGGGGCUAUCCAUAAUUUUACCCAAAUGAGGCCACGAAUCAAAAAGCUCCCACUUUUUCCCUCCCAUGGCGUGGUCGAUACAGGGGGAGGAGUCGAUCAAACCCUAGCAACAAAUCAAAGGAAAAAAAAAAACAAAAACACAAAUCGAAGGGAGUAGGUAAGGCGAAUCCUUCUCGAUUUUACUAAUUUUAGCAAAUUUGAGCAAAAAAUUGAACAUGUAUGGUAUCAAUUUUCACAUCUCAAAACCCUUCAGAUCUGUUUUUUUUUUUUUUUUUUUUUUUUUUUUUUUUUUUUUUUUUUUUGCAUCAUAUUUCGUGAUUCCUAACCGUAAUCUGUUAAUUAGAAGAGUUAUUGUCAUGGAAAUUUAGUUUCUUUUGCAAAUAAAUUUUUUUUUAUCUGAUUUUGAACUGAUAUAUGCAUGUAUCGAUUGGGGAGAGUAGUGAUGUAUUUGAAUGCAGUGAUUAGUUAAAAUAAAAGGGGGAAAGUGCUUCUUUUUGCAGCAAUUUUCUCUUUUACAUAAAAUUACUUUGAUCUAGUUUGAAGUGAUACAAUAAUUAGUGAUGUAUUACGCAAAAAGGGCUUCUUUUUGAAGUUUUACAGUGUUCGGCAUAUUGUGUGUGAGCAAAAAGGGCUUCUUUUUUUUUUCAUUUUUCAUUUUUUUUGGAUGAAUUCAAUUUAAAUGAAGGCUCAUAUCCCUAAUUGAACUCGAAUAAUUUCGAAAGCAUUUGGGCCGGAGUGUUUGGCAUUUAUAUUUGUAUUUAAGAUCUAUCCAAAGCAUUUGGAAAUUGAAUUGAAAAUUAAUUCUGCUAAUCUUUUUCUAGAAAAUGCCACAAUUUACAAACAAAUUAGAGCUAAUUUUAGUUUUUUAAACUGUUAAUAUUACAGACGCCUUAUGCUGGUUGUGAUGUUAAAAUCAUUUAUUGGAGUACGCUGCGCGCUAGUCUUUUCUUCUAGUUCUUUGUUCUGUAAGGGGGUAUUCGGUUCCUUAGAAAAGUGUGAAAAACUAUUUUUCGGGAAAAAUGUUUUCCAUGGAAAACACCUUUUUCACAGUUCACACUACUUUUCCAUGAAAUCUGGAAAAAAACUUUUUCAGAAAAACUACUUUUCAAAGGAACCAAAUGGACGAAAAAUACUUUUUCAGCCGGAAAACUAUUUUCUGGGAAACCUAACACCCCACCCCGUGAUGGCUUGUUUCAACUUUUUAGGCCCUAAGCUUUUAAUUGCAAUGCAUAUCUCUGGUAGUCGAGGAAGAGGACUGUAAUUUCAUUCGCUUAUUUGAGUUUUCUUCUUCUUUAAUUGCUGCACUUUUUGAUAUAGAUGUGCAGGUUUGAAGGUUUUCCUAUUCAUUACUCAGAAAUUCCCAGGAAAUUUUCUGUCCUAUUUCCUGACAAUGGCAAACUUAGAUUGCCUGAUUAUAUCUUAGUCUUGAUGCUUUCAACAACUAAUCUGGAUACAAAAUUGUUAUUUUGGCGCACUAUGUAAACGAAGAACAAAUAAUACACAAAUAUUAAUACUUUGUUUUCUGGGUGUGUUGUUAGGAUUAUACACAAUGAUGGCUGCUGUUUCACCAUCGCAAAUAUUUUUGCGAUACUUACUUCCGCAUGCAUUCAUUUGUUCGCACAAGCAAAUUACACGCACCAUGUAUGUCUAUUAUUUUUUCAAUCCUUGUGAUUAACUUUCCAUCAAAUUUUCAUAAACACUAAUAAGAAGAGUAUCCGAGGAGAGUGAACAGUAACUUUUAAUAGGUUAUUGUAAGCAACUUUUCACUAUGAACUUGAUCUCGUUGUAGGAAUUUCAGAGCACGAGGGACUCAAAGGCAUCUAAAAUCAUUUCAUCAGUCCUUCAGGAGAUCAUAUAUGGCUGUACAAAUGGAAAAUGGGCAACACUCUAGUUCACGCGGUUCUCUUAUAGUCUUUGAAGGAUUAGACCGAAGUGGGAAAACAUCGCAAUGUGGUAAGCUGCUCUCGUACUUGAAAGGCGAAGGUUUAUCAGUUGAAGCUUGGCGAUUCCCGGACAGAAGCACUGGCGUCGGGCAAAUGAUUUCUUCUUAUCUUGCAAAUCAGUCGAACUUAGACGAUAGAGCAAUCCAUUUGCUUUUUAGUGCAAAUCGAUGGGAGAAAAGGUUCUGUUCUUUCCUUAGUAAACUGUUUGUAUUCGUUGAAAGCAUAUUGGCAAAAACUAUUUGACUAAUUCCCCAUUUACAGAGCUCUGAUGGAAAACAAGCUACAGAGUGGAAUCACACUCAUUGUUGACCGUUAUUCUUAUUCUGGUGUCGCUUUUUCGGCUGCUAAGGGACUUGAUAUCGAGUGGUGUAAGGUGAGUUACAUCAGUACCCAGAUGAUUUUUUGAUUAAAGAAGGCUGCUUAUCUGUUUAUAUAUAUAUAUAUAUGUAACAUAACAUGAAUUAUGCCAUUUCCUGCAGGCGCCGGAAGCUGGUUUAAUAGCUCCAGAUCUUGUGAUAUAUCUAGACGUACUGCCAGAGGUAGACAACUGAAAUUCUAUUUAUUGAUAAUCUUUUCAAUAUCCUAGAGUAUGAUCGAUCACUGGGCUGUCCCUGUGCUUCUGAAUCGAACUGUUUGUUACUUUGCCACAAGGUUAGAGCCACAUUCAGUUAAUUUUGCUGUAGAAUGUCCUUUUUAGCCUUAUUUCAAUUGAACUGUAAUUGCUAAAUCAUCAUCAUUAUAUGGGCAUAGGGGUAUAAUGAUCAUUUUAUUAGAAAAUUAAGAUUUACCUUUUACGAUCAAGUAGUUGUAAUAUAUAAAAAAAGUUUGUGGACUAUAGUAUUUAAGGACAAAGAACUGGAACCAACUUCCAAUAUCAUGAUCAUACGAGGAUUGCUCGGAUAACAUCUUAUUGUUGUAGAUGAUAUAUGUGUGUUCUUAUGGACUGAAGCUAAUUAAAAAAGAUGAAUCUAUGAUCAUUUUAGACUGGUUGAAACUUGCAACCAGAGUGAAUUAUCGUGUAUAAGUAAUUUGAAUGGCUUAUUUCUUUGCCGCAGAUCCUUGCAAUACCAAACUUUUGGCUCUUUUAUUUUUUGGUAUAAUAAAUUUUCAAUGAAUUUGUGCUAUUUUAGAAAGCAGCUGAAAGGGGAGGUUACGGCACUGAGCGGUACGAGCAACUUGAGUUCCAAAAAAGGGUUGCAGAGCACUACAAAACACUCCAUGAUGAUUCUUGGGAGGUAAUUUUCAGCCUCAAGAAUAUACUAACUCAGAAGCCCUUUACGUUCUUCAGUUCAAGGAUUUAAGUGCCCAUUGGCACGGGCUGUAUCCAUCAUACCAAUAAGAUAUCGGCACGAUAUAGCCUCAGUGCCGAUGGCACUGGUUAAAACCCUCUAUUCUUUAAAUUAGUAAAUAAUUUUCUCAAUACAAUUCAAAAGAUUUGAUAAAAAUGCAUAAUAAACGGUUAGAAUAUUUUGCUGCUAAAGAAAAUAAAUAUUUCAUGCUAUUAUGUAUCGGCAUACAUGAAUUUUUGGUGACCGACACACAUCGGCACGGCCUGACACGCACUGUGCCGGAAAGUUUCUAGCACGAUCCCUUGCCACGGCACUUAAAUCCUUACUUCAGUUGUUUCCUUAAUUCAUUCUGAUGUUUGGGAACUAGCUUCAACUAACAUAUUGGUGUUCAUGCAUUUCAUUUCGACAAUUGUUUUGAGUUUAUAUUGUAUGCUUGCACGAAGGAUGAACUGAACCAUUUGUCCCCAGCCUUUUUUAUACGAUAGGGUCCCCGACCUUUGCAUUUUCUUGUGAUCCUGCCCCUUCGUACUGUUGAAAAUGUAUUAUUCGAGUAAGUUUCCGCUAUCGGUUAUAUGAUGAUGUAUUUUUGUUAAGGACUCGGAGAUUGUUCUGAAGAUGCCUUGAUUCAAUACUUUUUAUACUAUGUAAUUAAGAUAAAAAUAAGAUUUUCUUUUAUUGUUUGAACUAGCACGACCCAAGUUCGUCGACUUCUCUAUAGGCCUGAGGGACCUUUUCUUUUUACGGAUUUAUUUGAAUUUUAUUAUUAUCUUCGAAAUAUGAGGCAUAUUAAUCUCCCCUUUUUUAUAAAUCUACAUGUAAUUUUCUCUUUCUUCUCCUUUUAGAACUCUGUCCUCUUUGCAUCUUCAUUUUUCUUACAUCGGAACCCCCAAAUUACGCGGUUGAUGUAAAUUUUUUUCUCCGAUUCUGCGCUUCAUUUCAGGUCAUUGACGGCUGCCUCUCGAUGGAAGCUGUGCAGCAACAGCUGAGAGAGCUCGCGACUAAUUGUGUAAAGACGUGCCAACGAGGAAAGCCUCUUGUCAGCCUCUGGUCGACCAAAUAGAUUCGACUUCCGAGUUCAAACAACGAAGCUGGAUUUAGUUUCGAUCGUUAAGCUCGAAUCAUAAAGCUUACUGAGCUCAACUCGGCCUUAAUCUUAUUCUAUAAGGCGGAUCGGAAUCGGCAAUGUUUCUACUUACUCUGCUCAACUCAGCCUUAAUCUUAUUCAAUUUGGUUGAAAUGGAAGAAUUGUGUUUUUCUGAGUGUUUUUUGAGACAGUAGAUUAAUUUUUUUGGGGCAUUGGUUAGUGGAUUGUGAAAGUGUUUAGUGGAAACUAAGAUGUUCUUUAAAACUUGAAAUUAAUGGAGAGUAUUUAUUUAUUGUUGUUUAAUCAGAGUAUCAAAACUCAGUUGUUUUCUUUUUAGUGUUUACUCUAGACUUUGUAUAAUUUUGAUUUCUUUAAAGCCUAUACAAAAAUUGGAGCUUCAAGCACCAUUAAUGGUAAAUUACACCAUGGAUGCAUAAAAUCUAACAUUUGUUUCAUUCGCAAAUAAUGAGAUAGGGAUCAAUUGAUUUGGUCGCUCCACUAUCUGAACAUGAUUCUGUUGUCACAUCAUAUGAAGUGAAUAAUGUGGUGUGGCAUCUGAAUUAGUAGUCAUAUUUUUUUUCACGAUAUGACCAGACAACUGAAUCAUCAGCUACGAAGUCAUCCAUUAUCGAAGUAUUUACGCAAUUAAAACAAAAAUUAAAGUUUAGUACAUUAAUCGAAACGCAUUUUUAAGUAUCAAAGGGUGUUGCUUGCUCCUUAAUCAUUUACUUCUCCAAGACAUUCUUUUAUCAUCUUGAAGUAAAGUGGUUAUUUCUUACCCAUUAAUUCAUCUCCAAUUAUUGGUAAUGGGACCCAAAAUAAUUAGUAUGAAAAAUUAAAAGAAAAACAUUAUUUAUAUUUAUUAUAUUAAUAUAGAUACAUAUUGUAUUGGUUAAUAUGGGAGCAAAAGGAAAAGGAAUUCAUUCACAUGCAAAAAAAAACCCUAGAUCCCAUGCUAUUUUGUAGGUGGCUCCCACGUGCACACGUGUAAGCAACUAUUUUGAUAUGUACCUUAUAUAUUCACUACAAUACAAAAACAAACAACAUGUGACUAGGGUUUUAUUAGUAGGAUACAAAAAGUUGCAUGCUGUAAAAUUGUACUAUAUCUACAAUUGAAAAAUAGGUGAAAAUGUUUAAGAACUAACCUUUUGAUUCUAUUAUUUACAUUUUUUAAUAUUUUGAUUUGAAGACGCAAUUUUUAAAUUUAUUUGAUUUAAAUCAUUCGGUGGCUCUUCUACCUAUAUGCUAAUUAAACAUACAAAAAUAAAUAAUGUAUUCAAAUUUUGAGAUUAAAGAAUAAUUAACUGACUCAAAUCAAAUAAAUUGUUAGAGAUAUAUUAUACUCAGUAUGAGCAAUAAGUAUUUUCAUUCCCACUAUAACUAAAUUUGGCGUGUCUUGUGGUAGUGUUGGUGCGAUCCUUCGAUUUAAGACAACUACAAUUGAGAAGGGGGAUAUAAUUAUAAAUAUGGUUGAAAACAACGACAGUUAUAAAUUGGAGCUUCGAUAGAAGAGAUGAAUGGAAAGGAAAGUUCACAUUUUAGGUGCAGAAUUCCUCUCCAACUUUUUGCUUUUUCAACUACAUGCGAUUUAGGUGCAGGUCGAUAUUUAGUAGUUGACUUGCAAGUUUCAACUAUAGCUGCGACAAAUCAGAACAAAUUUUUUCAAUUACUUAUAGUUGCAUCUACAUUGCAGUUUUAGACGUAGCGAACCAGCCAGAUCCUAACAUGCACCACAUUAAAAAUGACUUGGAGAUCAAAUUCUUUUUGUUCCUUCCAUUCACUAAAGAUAUAAUUAGAAAAAUUUUCACUACAAAGGUUGUCUAAUUGGGCUCAACUUACUUUUGAUUCAUGUACAUUUCCGAUUCGAAUUCGAUCCAUAUCAAAAGCGCCGUAUUGGCUUCCAAAUAAAUAUUUUUCGUAGGGCUCCAGACCGAGAUCUAGAUCUGAAUACGAAUCCAAUAAGCUAAAGAAUCCAAUUUGUGGGUCCAAAUUAAAGUGGAAUUUUGACUAGAUUUAGAUUGGAUUAUUGGAAGGUUAGAAGGGACCAUUUACAUACCCUAAUCACAUGAGUGGUCCAUUGAAUCUCCUUCUCCUACAAUGUAAUUCCAAUUAAGUACUACACAAUUAUUUAGGACCACUACAAAAGUGUUACUUUUUGUAGUUUUUAAAGCAUGCCAUGAAAAGCUCCAAACAGAAAGAAAAGACAAUUUUAAAUUCUAUCCAAUUUUAAGAUACCUCUUGAAAAGAAAAAAAAGCUAUAUCGGAGUAUUUUUUUUUUUUAAAGUAAAUAUAUUGCCUUUAAUUUACACUUUAAUUAUUUCCGUUGAUAAUGAAAAUUCACAAAAAAAGUCCACUAAAUCUUAAUUUGUGCUAUCUUAAAAGGUAUUGUUUGAAUAAUAUUUUAAGAUUUUUUAAAACUAAUUUAUAAAUGAUAAAAUAAAAAGGGGGUUAGCUAAUAAUAAUAUGAGAUAAACGCGAAUUUUUUACAUAUUUUUUCACAGCUGGAUUUUAGAUAUGAAUAUCGACAUAUUUAGAGAGAUCCUACAUGUGCAACUGUAGUAAAGUGUAAAUCUUACGCUCUAAUCAUUUAAAAACUAAUAUUUACUCACUAUCUUAUCAAUAAUUUUUUUUUGUAAUACUAAAAGACUAAAAAAUAUUUUUAAACUCUUAUAGAAUAUACAUGUAGUAUUUUUUUUAUAUAUUUAAGAGAGUUUUUUUAUUUUUUUUAAAUGGUUUUCCUUGGAUGUGACAUCUCACCAAAAAAAAGAGAAUUAAAAAACAAAAACAUGCACAGCUGGAUUAUGUAGAUGAUGUUGUUUCCUUCUCUGUAGCUAAUCCCUUACCAAGAACAUCAAGAACAUGAAGUUCUUUGCUAGCCUUUUGGGGAGCAAAUUUUCUUGGCCUAUUUAAUUGUGGGUCAGCAAUUUAUAGACUUAUCACUCCAUUAUCUGUUGAGGCUGUAGGAGAUAGGCCUAACCUUAAUUUAUUAUUAUAUUUUCAUGAUUAAAAGGAUAACAUAUUGCUCACUUAUAAAAUUUUAUAAUUUUGUGAAGUUACUGACGCAGUAAUAUAUUCUGGGAGACCGGCAGAGUGAUUCUAAUAAUACCAACCACUUGAUUAUCAGCUUUUUUGUCAUUAGAUGUAACCUUUUGACCAUUUCUGCCUCUUGAAUCAUACUAAUCCAUAACCACCACUAAAUUCGUGUGGCCGGCUAUCAUUCUAAUUCUACAAUUCCUUUUAGAGAUGUCAACGAGUCGGAUUCGGGACAAAUUUUUAAAAACCCGAACCCGAACCCAACUCUAAACCCGAGACCCGAAUCCGAACCCGAACCCGACGGAUUUUAAAAAUUCAUAUCCAAACCCGAACCCGACCAAAAAUCCGAAACCCGAAUCCGAACCCAAACCCGAAUCCGAAAAUUUGAACCCGAAACAGUUAUUUCUUUUUUCAAUAUUUCAAAAUAUAUUAUAUUAAAUCUAAAUUUUUAAAAUAUAAAUUCAAAUAUAACACCAAAUAUAUAUAUAUAUUAUAUAUAAAUAAAUUCAGGUUCGAGUCGGGUUCGGGUUUGGGUCGGGUACAAUCAAAAUCCAUAUCUGAAUCCAUAUUCGUCGGGUUUCUAUUUUUUAUAUCCAUAUCCGAAUCCAUAUUCAUAUCCAUCGAAUAUAUCCGUUUCAUUCGGGCUCAGGUUCAGAUAAAAUUUCGGGUAUCCAUACGUAUUGACAUUCAUAAUCCCUUUAUCCUAAACCUAAAAACAAACAAACACAAAUGACUUGCAGACUUGGUGCUAUUAGAAGUAUUUCAGCACAGUUGUGUAUUUUGGCUCUUUGGGUUGUGAAUCUUGUGAUAACUAUCACCUCACAAUUUAGAAAAAUACUACUUGUCUACUUGUACACUCUAGAAGGGAGUUGGUGAUUUACAUAUCUCUUCAUCCAAGGGUUCAUGAGAUAUUUAAUGUUAAAGAAUUAAAAAAUUCGGUUUCUCGAAUGUUGAAUUAUGUGUUCUGAAUAAUAUUUAAUAUGAAUCGUCGAUUUGAAAGCUUUAUCAGUGAAAAUGACUUGUAGUAAGAAAGCGAUCGUGCUUAUAAGAGUAUAAUAACUGAACUCAUAUGUAUAUAAAGGAAUUAUUAUAAAUAUUUGUCAUUGCACUAAAUAUUUAUUUACAUUUAUUUGAUGAUAUAUAAAGAAAUUAUUGUAAAUUCUAUAUGGUGUUCUAAGGAGUGAGGAAAAUAAAAAUAUUUUAUUUGCAUUUUGCUUUCAAACACUACCAUCCAUAAAUUAUAAGUAUAGAAUAAAUUGAUUAUUAUUCUGUGGAACAUUUACUCUUAUAGUGAGCCAUACUUUUAACAUAACUAUUUUUAUUAUGACUAAAAUACAGAAAAAUUUUUAUAAACAUAUGCUUUUUUUUAUCUUUUCGCUCUCAUUUUUAAAAAUCUAUAUUUUGCCCUCUUAAAAUUUCAAAAAUAUUUUUAGGAGGACACGACGUUAACGAAGAGGGCAAAAUAACCAAAUCGCCCUUAUUUCUUCUAUUAAAAAAAUAAAAUUUUAAUAUAUUUCUAUUAUUUUGAAGGGCAUUUUCGGUAUAAAUCAUAAAAAAUUGACAUAAUAGAGAUGGAACCCUGACGGGGGGAGCUAAAUGUAACAACUUGAUAUGUUGAGGGGUAAAAUGUAAAUUUUUAAAUAUUAGAAAGAGAAAGUAAAAAAAUAAAUAUUUAUAAGGAGAUUUUUCACUACAACAGAAUUAUGUUAUAGGAACACAAGUUUGGGACACUUUUGUGUAAGUGCCCCUUUUAUGUCAAAACAUUUAAAAAAAUCUACUAAGGGCUAAGGCCUAAAUAUAAAGCUCAAUCCAACCAAAAAUAAAAGGUUAUUCUACUCAACCCACCCCACCCAGUCCAUUCAGCCCGAUUACAAACAAAAAGUAAAAAAAAAAAAAAAAAAUCAAUUACCGUCUCUCCUUCUCCGCUCACUAAAUCCACUGAAACCCUAGACGAAGAGCUCUUCGCUCUCCUCCUCCUCUGUCACCACAGCCAACGAGAUAGAGUUCCGGCAGUUGCUAAAUGCUUACAUAAGUAUUGAUAAAUUAGUAGCACUCUUUUUAAAUUAUACCGACACUCUUAAACUGUCAAUAUAUACUUAGCAACCCCACAUAUAGCAACAUUUUUUAAAAAUGUUGGUAAUUUAGCCAGCAAAAUUGAUAUUUAAAAAUGUCGCUAUAUAUUAUUUUUGUUGUAAUAUUCUUUCAUUUAGCCUUUUAUUAUUGAUAAAAAGAUAUAUAUUAAAUUCAGUAAUUAAAUAUAUCUAAAUUUGAUCACAAACAAUAAUUUUUUUAUUUUUUUUAUUCUAAAAGUAAAAAAAUUAUUUUUUUAACAAUUUGAUCCCUCAUCAUAACUCUAGCACAUGGUGAAACAUGUGAAUCCCACUAAUAACAUAAAACCCAUGUGAUUACUCUGACAUUUUUCUCAUGCAUUAUGUAUUGCUUGCAUUAUAUUAGAGCAGCAUAUAUGGAUUGAGUACACUGGUUACAGCACAAGGACAAGAGAAAUUAUAGCAUAUAUAUAUACACACUAGAAAAGUAUUAUUUGAAUAAAAUUAUUAAAAUAAUCAGAUAUUUUCUAAUUUAUUUUUUAUAAAUAUUUUUGUAUCUAAAUUUAUAGAACCUGACAUAGUGAUGAUAUAUUUCUAGGAGCAGGACUGUUGUGCUCCCGUGCUCCUGAGCCGUUUUCGAUGAUAAAAUUUUCGAAUCGAUGAUCGGUUCCGUUAGACUUGAUCUAGCGUAUUUGAAGAUUUUAGAAAAUAAUAUUUACGACUUUUUGAUAUCAUUUACCUAACAAUCAAAAGGAUUCAAAAUCAAUAAUUUUUAACGGCUGAAAAUAAAAAUUCUAUAAAAAGUUGUAAUAUAGCACUAAAAUUUUCGAUCAGAAAUAUUGAGCUUGUUGUAAAUAGUAUAAAGAAUUUUGUAGCAAAAUUUCAUCUGAUUUGAAUACUUCUAUACCGUUAAACUUGAAAACGGCAGAUAUCAAUCAUUAAAAAUUAUUGAUUUUGAAACUUUUCGAUCACUAGAUAAAUGAUAUCAAAAAAUCGCAAAAAUUAUUUUUUAGAAACUUCAAAUACGCUAGAUCAAAUCUAACGGAGCCGAUCGUCGAUUCGAAAAUUCCAUCAUCGAAAAUGGCUCAGGAGCACGGACGCCUUCGUACUCCUGAGAGCACAGCAGUUCCUGCUCAUAUUUCUAGUGUGAUUUAUCUGACAUUUAUUUUUAAUUUUUAUUUAAUUUAUAUAAUUUUGAGUUAGCAUUUCCAUGUCAAAAUUGUAUACAAGGGUGUGUGUGGUUACUCCUUAAAAUGGCCGAAAAAAAUUUUUAAGCCUGAAAAACUUUUUUUGGUUGUUUGGAUUAUGGUAAAAUGAUUUUCCUCGAAAACUUUUUUUACAUACUUGGAUGAAAACAGAGUUUUUCGGUUUCCGCCAUUUUUACGCGAAAAACGAAAACUCUUUACAAAAAACGCGGCUCAUCGAAGCGGGAAAAAACACGGUCCACGAGAAAAGCUUGUUCUCGUGGACCGCGUGAGAGGACCCACCAUGACCUCUCUUUCUAUAUAUAUACUAGUGAAUUACCCGCGCGAUGCUGCGGAUAUAAAAUUAUUUUUAUAAUAAAUUAUAUAUUUUUUAAUAUUUUUAUAUAGUUUUAUAAGUCUAACUAUUAAUUAAAAAAAUUAUAUAAAAAUAAUUAUGUGCAAAGUAAAUUUAUACAAUAAUUUAUUUUAUAAAAUUUAUAUGAAAAGAAUUUGAGAUAAAUCUAUCAAAAUAAUUUAAGAAAACCAAUAAAUAAAAAAUUGUAAACAAAAAUUUUUAAUAAAAAAUUAUCAUAUACACAUAGCUAUUUUCUAAAAUUUAGUCCUUGAAAUUAAAUGUUUACAUAUUUUUUAUACAGCGAUAUUUUUAUGAAUUAAAUUGUAUUAUUAGAUUAGAUUUUAUUACGCGAUUAUUACGCUAUUAUUAGAAUUUAGAGAUUAAAAUUUUAAAUUUGAAAAAGUUAAAAUUUGGAAUAAUAUAUAAUUUAAACAUAUAAAAUAUUAAAUUUUAAAAUUUAACUUUAAAAUUUAAACAUAUCAAAUUUAAAUUUUAUUAUAUAUAUAGAAGGAGAGAGAAAAGGAGGGGGGACACGUGUACUCUAAGGUCCCCAAACCCGCCUCCCCCCCCCCCCCCCCCCCCGCCUCCCCCCCCCCCCCCCCCCCCCCCCCCCCCACCCCCCCCCCCCCCCCCCACCACCCCCCCCCCCCCCCCCCCCCCCCCCCCCCCCCCCACCCCCCCCCCCCCCCUCGCCCGCCCCACCCCCCCCCCCCCCCCCCCCCCCCCCCCCCCCCCUCUUAAUGUAGUAAAUAAAAUAGAUAUAUAUAUAUAUAUAUAUAUACGUAUAAUUAUAUAAUAUAUUAUAUUAUAUAAUAGAAUAAGCUGAGAUAUAUUAUAUAGUAAAACUUUUUUUGACUAUCAAAUUCAACAGCCUUGGAUGAAAGUUGUAAAUUAGAUGUAAUUAUCAGCAUUAGAGUUAAGUGAUCCCCCUAUAUUGAGUGUCCUCACAGAAGUUAUAGUAUUAAUCCAAUGGUUUAGAAAAUGAUGAAAAGAGUUGAUCACCAAGGCUAAAAACUGCUAGAACAAUGGCAUUAUUCUACUAAUAGUUUAAUAAUAAUAAUUUAUAUUCAUUACAUAUUAUGUAUAUAUAUUUACAUAUUUUAUUAAUAAAGUAUAAACUUAUAAUAAUUAUUAUGUAGUAUGAUAAUUUUUUAUAUUAAUAAUAUAUAUAUAAUUAUGACAAAAUACAUACCAAUUUUUUCUAAUUUUAUUUUUCUUUUCUUUUCUUCACCAAAACUGCACGAAAAAGUUGUUUUUUUUUUAUAAACCAAAGCUAAAGAGCGUAAUAAUUUAUUUUCUCAGAAAAUUUUUUUUACAUCGAAAACUACUUUCACACGUUUUAUACGUGAAUCCAAACACCCCUUUAAGCACAAAAAAAAAAAAAAAAAAAAAAAAAAAAUGACCAUCUAACACAAGAACUUAUAUUAGGUUAUAAGUUUAUUUUUGAUUCUUCUACAUUUUUACUCUAUUUAUUAUUGGGGAUAAUUGCCUAUAUACCCCUCAUACGUUUGAAAAUAUUCGAUUUACCUCUACUUUUUUGUUCUUUCUAAAAUACCCCUCAUAUGUUCUACCGUUAUUACAAAAUACCCCCGCAGUUAUCUCUUGUUAAGUUAACUUAAGUUAAACGUGAGCUAAAUAACUAUCACAGUUAAAAAAAAUUAAAAUGUCAAUUUUGCACUUAACUUAAGGGCAAAUAAAAAAUAUUGGUGACGGUAGAGGGGUAUAUUAAAAAGGACCAAAAGUCAAAAUACUUUUUGUGCCCUUAACUUUAAGGGCAAAUAAGAAAGUCGGUAAUGGUGGAAGGGUAUAUUUGAAAGGACAAAAUAGAAAUUUUAUAGAGAUAACAGAGUUUAUUAAAAGAUUUUAACUCUAGAGAUAUAUUAGAAAUAGGUUGGAACGUAGAAAGGAUAUUUUCAAUUUUAGCCUUCUAAGAAGGAUAAAUCGAAAAGUCUGGAACUUUUUAUGGGUAUAUAAACAAUCACCCCUUAUUAUUGUUGGAAAGGUGAAUCCAUAUAUAACUUUAACCAGGGAUGUCAAUGGGUACGGAUACCCGAGAUUUUAUCCGAACCAAAACCCGAAUGAAAAGGAGAUAUCCGAUGGAUAUAGAUAUGGAUUCGGAUAUGGAUAUAAAAAAUAGAAACCCGACGGAUAUGGAUUUGGAUAUGGAUAUAAAAAAUAAAAACCUGACGGAUAUGGAUUCGGAUAUGGAUUUUGAUUAUACCCUACCCGAAUCCGAAUUUAUUUUGUAUUAUAUAUAAUAUAUAUAUAAAAUUUGAUGUUAUAUUUGAAUUUAUAUUUUAAAAAUUUAGAUUUAAUAUAAUAUAUUUUGAAAUAUUGAAAAAAGAAAUAACUGUUUCGGGUUCAAAUUUUCGGGUUCGGGUUCGGGUUCGGGUUCGAGUUUCGGAUUUUUGGUCGGGUUCAGGUUUGGUUAUGGAUUUUUAAAAUCCGUCGGGUUCGGGUUCUGGUUCAGGUCUUGAGUUUGGAGUCGGGUUCGGGUUCGGAUUUUUAAAAAUCCGCCCUGAAUCCGACCCGUUGACAUCUCUAUCUUUAACAAUAGAAAGGUGAUAGUAUGUACUCCUCUUAAUUAGUAGCUAUAAAUGUUUGGGCACACCCAUAAUAAUAUUUUGCCCAUUCUUAAAUAUCUCCUUCAAUCUUUCAUUUUUUUAAUUAAUAUAUCCUUAACUUUUGAUUUAAAUUUGAUUUUAAUGAAUAUAACCAAUGUUUUAUCGAAUGUACAAAAAAUUUCAGAUACCCACCUAUAUUUUAUCGAAUGUACACUUUAGUAUUCCGUUAUUUACAGAAUUUUCACUUUAGUAUCCAGUAAUUUUAAUUUUGUUAUUGAUUUAACCAGGAAAUAACAGGAAGAGAAAUAUGAAACUUCGGAAUACUUAAGUGAUACAUUUUUAAAUCAUAGGAUACUAAAAUGAGAAAGCGCGAAACUACAAUAGUGGUAUUUGAAGUUUUUCAAAAUUUAUAUAAUUCUAUAAAUAAAACUAUUUAUAAUUUUUUUAUUAAGGAUAAAAUAUAUAAAAUAAUCUCCUGAUCAUCCACGGUAAUGUAAUAUUUCCACUAAUCAAAAUUUUAUGAUAAUUUCACGAUUUCUAAAUAAUUUAAAUAAUUUAAAUAAAAAUAUAUAAAAUGAGGUUUUUUUUGCAUUUGGCCCCCUCAAAAUAGUUUUUUUCACAAAUAGUUCCAUCAAAUUUAUAAUUACAAUUUUGGCCCUAUCCCCGCCACACAUGUGCCACAUCAGCGCCACACAAGCUGGGUGGGGAGGGGCAUUAAAUUGAACACGAUGAAUCAUUCAUCAUAUUCAAAAUUUUAAACACGGUAAAUGAUUCACCAUGUUCCAUACUUAUACUUUUUUGUUUAAAACUUAUAUUUUUUCACAAUACAUAUAUUUCUUCCUAAGAUGCGGUAAAUGAAUUACCGUAUUCAACUUAUUCUAGCACCCCAACCCUUGCUCGCGUGGGGUCUAUGUGGCACCUGCGUGACAAGAAUUGGACCAAAAUUAUAAUUAUAAAUUUAAUAAAAUUAUUUAUUAAAAUAAUUUUUUUGAGGGAAAAAAUAUAAAAAAAAAAGGUCCUAUAAAAAGUUUUCAAAAUUUUUAUAUAUUGUCAAACUUUUAAACGAAUCAUCAUCAUGAGGAGCGGGAAAAGCAACUCACUUUCGAGGGCUUUACUUUUUGGAAAAGAUAGGAGUGACUGAUGCGAGGGAUUUGCUGACGGCAUUUUGGUAUCUCACGAAGUGGCAGUGCGGACAGUGCAGUCGCGCAGACUUCCGUCCCUCCCCACGUGACGCGCUGAGACUGCUGUCUGCCUCAGCCUUUUGCCCCUCAAAAACGGUUGGUUUACUUUCUGCCGGCCCAACACGGAGGGAAAUAUUGCCUGCACCCGGUGUAUCCGUACAUAUCCGUACAUAUCAUGAACCAUGCUUUAGAUAUUAUAUAACUGCUUGGUUGUUGUUUUGUUUUGUUUUUUUUUUUUACCCCAAGUGAAGUUCAGACGAAAGUAGACUUUUGAGUAAAUCAGAGUCCUGGAAAAAAUUAGUCCUCUUUCGCUGCUUGUUUUUGUGAAUCAUAAGCACUAACCGAUUAUUAUAAAAGUACGUGCUGAUAGAAAGAGCAUAUUCAUCACACUUAAGGGUUCAACCACAGCACUCAUGGGUUUUGAACUGACUCAACUUACCUAAACAUUAGAUUUAUUGUUGGGCCUCUGACCGUUAGGUCUCUUGUGGACCGCGGUUUACUCAAUUUAUUAGGCUCAGCCAAUUCAACUUAUUAGUCUCUCGAGUCUAUUAUUACGCACAUAAAGUUUGAUCUAUUUGAACCCAAUAAUAAAUAUCUAAUAGUUUUUAUAGCUUUAGCACUGAAGUUAUUCAGUUUUGCUAUUUUUUGGAUGGAAAGUGAAGGACAUAAAAAUUAAAGUUUCCCGACGUUAGUAUUUUAUUAUUUUUUAUCACUUUUUUGUUAAGUUAUGAUAAAUCAAAUAAUAACUGUGAAUAUUUAUGAUCGUAAACUACUUCAUAUUUCGUGAAAUGAGCAUAUUAAUGUUUUAAAAUUAAAAUUCAAUUCAACAGAUGCUAGAGAAGAGCUAUAACUCUGAUAUAGGAGAGGCACAAUGUAUAGUUACAAAAUAUAUAUAUUUUAGGAACUUUUCUUAAUUAGUUGUUAUCUUUCAAAUUUAUAGAUUAUAUCAAGUUCCUAUUCUAAGUUUGUGACGGUUCUAUAAAAUAAAUAAUGAGAAAUGAUUCGGUACUUUUUUUAAAAAAAAAUAAAAAAGAUCUUAACCGUUGAUUAAUAGAGGGUAAAAAUGUAACUUUAAUACUUAGCAGGUAAAAGGAUUAUUUUAUUCAAGGUUAGUUUGGUAAUUAAAUAAUACAAUAUUUAAAGAAACUUUUAAUUGAGGUCCUAAAUUUAUGCAUUAAUUAGUACUAAUUUAGGAAAUUAAUUGAUUAACCAAAUUUAUGAAAUUAUUAGGCAUUAAUUUAGGAACCUACUUUAAAUAUUUUAGUGUUUCUCAAAUUAUGCAUAAAUUUAAAUUAUAGAAAUUUUAGAAAUAGUUUUAUUUCUAAAUACGAUGAAUUUAAAUUUUAAAAAUUAAAUACUUAAAAUUUAAAAGUGAAAUUUAAAUUAGAGGAAUUUCAUAUUACUAUUUAAAAACUAAAUUUCUACCAAGAUUUAAAAUACAGUUUAUUCGCACCAGUUUAAAACGUAAUGCAUAAAAAACUUAGAGAGUAAGAUUUCUACAACUAGAUUUCUCUAGAGGAAUUUCAUAUUACUAUUUAAAUUUUAAAUUCAAUGAUUUAAAAACUAGAUUGAACCGAUUGAUUUGACUGAUCAGACUUUGACCUAUUCUAUCAAGAAUCUGAUUUUAACCUAUUGAACCGAAUAACAUUAAGAACAAUUUGGAACCGGUAAAGAUAAUAAAUAUUUUAAACAGAAUAAUAAUUUAACUGUUAGAGCUAAUAAAUAUUUUAAAUAUAAUUUUAAACAUAUAAAUUAAAAAGAUUAGAAUUAUUGGUGAGAAAAAAAAUAGUUAGGAAUUUGAAUUCGAAUCUGACUAACAAUCACAAAACUUAUUUCCGAACUCGACGGAUUUCAAAAAUCCAUAUCCAAAUUCAAAACUGACCAAUUUUUCGAAACCCAAAACCAAACCUAAACCAGAAGACUAGAAUUCAAACAAUUAUUUCUGUUUACCAUAUUUCAAAGUAUUUAUAUGAAACUUAAAUUUUUAAAAUAUAAAUUUGAAUAUAAUAUUAAAUUUUAAAUUUAAAAGUGAAAUUUAAAUUAGAGAAAUUUUAUAUUACUAUUUAAAGUUUAAAUUCAAUGAUCAUAUUGUCAAAUCAUUUGAAAUUUUCCUUAUAUGAAAUGUCAAAUUAUGAAAGGAAAGAUAGAGAGAGCAAAAGGAAACAAAGAAAAAAUAAAAAUUUUAAAAAUAUAGUAGAUGUAAAAUGACUAAAUUGCCCACGUAUUAAAAGACAAAAAUAUCCUUUUUUGAGGUACCUGGUGACCGGUACCUCUCCCAAAGUGACCUGCUAUUGCAGGUCACAAUUUAAAAAAAACUAAAUCUGAGUCGUUGAAUAUGCGUGAAUGAACGGUAACCAAAAAAAAAAAGUAUAGAAGCAUUACUCAUAAAUAAUUAUUUGAGGUAUAGUAAGAAAAAAAAUAUUAUUAACUUUUCUAGCUAGUUUGCUUGCCAAAAUAUUCUUUUCUCAAUUUUUUUUUUGACGAGAGUAGGUCCAUAGUAAUUGUUAGAUGUGUCACGAAAUUCGGCUAUCAGUUUUUGAUUCGGUGUCCCUAAUUUGCCGACAGCUUUAUGGUGCGACAAAUUUUUUUAAAAAAAUUAUGAAGAAAAAAAUAGAUGUGUGUGGUGUUAAAGAAACUCGAUAAGGAGCAAACAGAUCAUUUUCUAUUCUUUUGCCCUGGAGGCGUGACAACAUGUCGAAAUCUUCAUAAAUUAUACUCUCUUUUUCGCAUAGUGGAGUUUUCUGUUUGGGUAUUCCUAAUUCGCCGACAGCUUCGCGGUGCGGCAAAUUUUGAAAAUAAAAUUUACAAAGAAAAAAGUGGAUGUGUGUGAUGUCGAAGAAACCCGAUAAGGAGCAAACAGAUCAUUUUCUAUUCUUUUGCCCUAGAGACGUGACAACAUGACGAAAUCUUCAGAAAUUAUACUCUCUUUUUCGCAUAGUGGAGUUUUCUGUUUGGGUGUUCCUGAUUCGUCAACAGCUUUGCAGUAUGACAAAUUUUGAAAAAAAAUUUAUAAAAAAAAAAAAUGGAUGUGUGUGAUGUUGAAGAAACCUGAUAAGGAGCAAACGGAUCAUUUUCAAUUCUUUUGCCCAAGAGGCGUGACAGCAUGUGGGAAUCUCCAUAAAUUAUACUCUUUUUUUUCGCAUAGUAAAGUUUUCUUCUCCUUCGUCCGUAAUUUUUUUUACGUAAGUUUUAUAUUCUUUUUUAUUAUUUUGUUGUUUGUCUACUCUACAAUCGUCAUUUUUCGUUUCUAUUUGUGCGCUCCUUGUAACAAUAAUCAUAAUAUAUAUAUAUAUAUAGAAUUAGGCUGGAAUACUAUUAAUAGUAAAACGCUCUUUUUGCUAUCAAGUUUUUAACCCUUGGAUGAAAAAUUGCAGGAUCAUGAUGAUAUUAGUCGGUUAGAGUUGAGUGGUCCCCCUAGGGUUGAGUGGUUCCCACUGAGUUAUAGUAUUUAAUCCAAUAGUUAGAAAUAAUGAAAAGAGUUGAUUCAAAGGCUAAAAACCCGGUAGCAACAAUAGAAUUUUGCUACUAAUAGUAGCCCAGUCCAACUCUAUAUAUAUAUAUAUAUAUUAAUACAUAAUAUAAAACUUAGGUUUUGAUACUAUUAAUAUUAAAACGCUCAUUAUUUCUAUCAAUUUCUAACACCUCGAUGGUAAAAAAAUUGUACGGGUCAGAUAUAUAUACGUUAGCGUUUGAAUGUCCCGUGGUUGUGUGGUCCCCUGGGUUAUAGUAUAUUAAUACCAACGGUUAGAAAUAUAUGAGAAAUUGAUCCAUCAAGGCUAAAAACGGUACAAAAUGGGAUUUUGCUACUAUAGUAAGCCAAGUCCAACUCUAUAUGUAUAUAUAGAGAGAGAGAGUUUUGCUCAGAAUACUUCGGUACUGAACGGUUUCGUUACUACUGAUUUGAUUCGAUGAUACGGUCUUCCAAAUUGAUGAUCCGGCAACCGUAACAUAAUCCUAUAACUAUUAAUAAAACUAUCUGUAAAAUCAAUUUCACAUAUUUCCGAUAUUUUAUCUUGUCCAUCAAGUGAACAGAAAAAUGAAUGGCUGAAAAUGAAUAUCCUUUAAAAGUCAUGAUACAAUUUUUAUAUUUGAGAUCUAGAGUCUAGAUCUUAUUUUAAAUAGUUUAAAAUUUUUUUAACAAAAAUUUAGUUGAUUUGAACUCUUCUAUACCGUUAAACGAGCAAACGCACUAUAUCGGCUAUUAAAAUUAUAGAUUUCGUGACCCUUUGAUCGUUCAGUUAGUGAUGCCAAAAAAUCAUGAAAUUUGAUUUCUAGAUAAUUUAAAUGGUCUAGAUCAUGUUCAACGGUACUGAUCGUCGAUUUGGAAGCUUUAUCAUCAAAAAUAAAUCGAUAGUAAACUGAGCAGUUUAGUACCGAUAGUAGGCCAGUCAAACUCUCUAUAUAUAUAUUUAUAUAUAUAUAUAUAUUCUUUUUUUCAGCUAAAAUGCAGGAACUCACUUUCAAAAUAUUAUGCGAAGAAUAAUAAUAUAUUUUGAAUUCUGAUAAUUAUUGCAGUUAUAGAACUGUCUAUUACUUUUGAUAAUUACACGAUACUAGUCUAAAAAUCACUAACAAAUUCGAUAAAAUCUAUAUUUUUUUUACUAAAAAAUUACUUAAUUUCAACAAGUUAGAAGUUGAGACGAUUUAAAUAAAAAAAGGUUAAAAAAUUGUUAAGGACGCUAUUGUAGAAUUGCCGGUUCUUGAGAUGUCUUUGUAAAUUUAUAUCAGAAAUUGUGAAACAANUUUGGUGGGGUUAGGUGGGAUUAGCUCAACCCAUCCAAAAUGGGCUAUCCCUAGUUAGGUGGGGUUAGCUAACCCUACUCAAUUUUGGAGGUGUUUGGGGAUAAUAUGAGGUUUAAGGGGUUAUUCAUCAUAGAUUUAGCAUUUCUGUUAAAUAUAAAAAUAUUUAAAUAUCGUUUUUUAACAACUUAAGUUUUUAGAAUACGACGAUUGUUUCACAUGGUAUCAGAGCAGAAUCCCACGUCAUAUGUCAACUAAAACGUCUCGAGUCCAGACGUGAGGGAGAGUGUUAAAAAAAAAUUUAAAUACCGUUCUCUAACAACAUAAAUUUUUAGAGUACAACGAUUGUUUCACAAUUUCUGAUAUAAAUUUACAAAGACAUCUCAAGAACCGGCAAUUCUACAAUAGCGUCCUUAACAAAUUCGAUAAAAUCUAUAUUUUUUUUACUAAAAAAUUACUUAAUUUCAACAAGUUAGAAGUUGAGACGAUUUAAAUAAAAAAAGGUUAAAAAAUUGUUAAGGACGCUAUUGUAGAAUUGCCGGUUCUUGAGAUGUCUUUGUAAAUUUAUAUCAGAAAUUGUGAAACAAUCGUUGUACUCUAAAAAUUUAAGUUGUUAGAGAACGGUAUUUAAAUUUUUUUUUAACACUCUCCCUCACGUCUGGACUCGAGACGUUUUAGUUGACAUAUGACGUGGGAUUCUGCUCUGAUACCAUGUGAAACAAUCGUCGUAUUCUAAAAACUUAAGUUGUUAAAAAACGAUAUUUAAAUAUUUUUAUAUUUAACAGAAAUGCUAAAUCUAUGAUGAAUAACCCCUUAAACCUCAUAUUAUCCCCAAACACCUCCAAAAUUGAGUAGGGUUAGCUAACCCCACCUAACUAGGGAUAGCCCAUUUUGGAUGGGUUGAGCUAAUCCCACCUAACCCCACCAAACCUCAACCAAACACUAUUUUUUAUUCAGAAUAACCCACUAUUCUUUUUUCUCCCACCUACUCCAACCAAACACUAUUUUUCAACCCCCACCAAAUACAAAAAUACUCUAAUUUUACUUUAACCCUGAACUUAAUCCUAUCUCUGAAAUAACUAAUUUUUUUUAACCCAUACCAAACGGUAGCUUGGAGUUUAAACAAGUUUAAAUAGAUUUUAGUAUUAAAAAAAUUAAUAUAACAAGUGAGAAAAAAAAAAAGUUUUUUGAUGAACUAAUUGUAAGAUCUACAAGUUAUAAGAGGUGCUUUGCUCACCUGAUCCACACCUCUCUCUCUCUCUAAUAAUUAAUUCUCCAUAAAUUAAUGGGAAGUAGUAGGACAUAUGCAUUAUCACAUAGCAACAUCUUUUUCUAUGUUUUUUCUUUUCUUAUCUCUCUACAUUUUUGGCUCACUUACCCAUAGUCCAUAGAUUCUCUCUCUCUGUUUCUCUCUCUCUCAGCUUCACCUACACCUAUACUAUAAUAGCUAUGUAUAUGAGAGAGAAAGUGCAAUAACAUCAUUACUUGCACUCAGUGUCACCAUACACUGCACACCAAAAAUUUUUACUACAAUAAAAAUAAUGUAUAGCAACACUUUUAAAUAUUAGUAUAAAUAAAAAAAUUAUUUCUGGCUAAAUUACUGACAUCUUUUAAAAAUAUUGCUAUAUAUGGGGUCGCCUUAAUAUUUGGCACCCACUCCUCUAGCAACCUAUGGCGGAGGGAACAUAGCGAUCGUAGUCCUCUACGAUCCCUGUGGGAUUCUCACGGCCGAACUUCAGCCGCCGGAAUCUUACCUCGUCGGCUGCGGCGGCAGAGGAGGAGAAGGGAAGAUGGUGAUCAAUUUUUUUUUCUUUUUUAUUUGUGAUCAGGUCGAGUGGGCUGGAUGGGAUUGGUUGAGUAUAGGAACUUUUUGUUUUUUAUUGGAUUGAGCUUUAUAUUUAGACCUGACUAAAUUUUUUUAAAAAAAAUGGUAUAAAUGAAAUAUUUACACAAAAGUAUUUCAAAAAUAUGUCUCUAUAAUCUAAUUCUUAUGUAGUGCUUAUAACAUAGAUCAUAAUCAAAAAAAAAUUAUAACAUUUGAAGUAUAUAUUGUAUAUUAAAAAAAAAUAAAUUUUGAACAUUAUAUCUUAUAAAUUAAACCAUAUUAUUUUUCACACUAUUAACUUGUAUAAUAGUUUGAAGUUUAUACUGUAGGUUCUUUAAAUAAUAUUUAUUCAUUACCCACAUAAAUUGAUAUGCAAUUAAUGCAUUGCAGAUAUAGAUAUGUCAACAUUAUUUAUCUUAUAAUUUAAAAUAAUAUCAGAUAAUUUAAACACUAUAAAUAAAAUCUAUAAAAUUAUCAUGAGUUAUGUGGCACUUUGGUUCUAAGACUUUAAUCUAUUAUAGUUUUUGAUCCGAACUUUCUGAAUUAUUAUAAGUCCGACAACUUAAUUUAGUCAACCAAUUAAAUUUUAAUGUGUCACUAAUAUGACAGUAAUAUAGUAGUGGUGAGAUUGAUGAUACAGUUAUAAAUAAGAUGCUAUGUUAUUAUCAUAUCAAUGAUAAGUUAAUUUUUAAUUAAGUAAAUUAAGUUGAGAAAUUUAAUCGAAAUAAUUUAAAAGAUUUAAAUAAAAAUUAUAAUAAAUUAAAGUCUGAGGACCGAGCGUAAUUUAUUCAAAAUUAUAUUUGAUUUUAAAUUAUUGGGGAGUAAUAUUAUAGGAUGUGAUUGUAUGCUGAAAUAUACUUUAUAUUAUAUACACCUGGUCUAGUCAACAUGUUCUUCAUUGGUUGAGAGGAGUAACCAUUCCCAAGGUGUGAUUAUUCUACCUUUUCACCUCCCCCCUCCAUUGGAGCAACUCUCCAUUUCUAUUCUCUCUGGCCUCUUUCUCUCACCAAAACCCAUGCAGCUCUCCCCNAAAAAAAAAAAAAAAAAAAAAAAAUAUCUCUUCUCUCUCCUCAAUAUGUUAACGAGAAAGUCUACCUAUAAAACUUACACUAUAUUAUUAAUAAUCAGUCAAUAUUUUGUUAAUAAUUAUGAUGAGACAGAUGCAUUCAAAGAAAACAAUAUUCUUUUAUUUGAGAAAAAAAUAGCAUGCUAUUUGUUUCGUUUAUUUAUUUUAGAAAUAAACUUAGCUAAAAAUGUAAAUCAAUUAGAAUUCGAAUUUGAGACAUAAAAUAUCAACCACCAAACUCUUUGUCACUUGUAUUAGAAACAGUCGGUCAGAAAAUAUAAUUUUAUUAGUUAAAAAUGAUAUUUAUGAGUAAUAUAACUGAAGUAUUCUAGACUUGUUCAUAUGUUAAGACAUACGCACACACUCUCUUUUGCACCCCCAUUUGGCUCUUUGCAUAUUAUAGGAUCCAAUGGGCAUGAUGAGUCAUUGAUGCUUGUUAACUUAUUAUUGUAUAAAUGAGCUUCUGCUGCAGCACCCAUGUGGGCUUUUUGCUGAAGCUGCUCAGAAGCUUUUGCUUGUGAAAAAAGACCCACAAAAAAAAAAGAAAAAAGAAAAAAGAAAAAAGAAAAAUCUGAGAAGAAGAAGCAGCUCUCAUGGGUUCUUCUUUUUGGUCACUGGGGAGAGAUUGAAACCUUAUUAGAUUUGUUCUCAAAAACCUCCAGGUUAGUGUUGCUUCAAAAGAUCUCUUUCCUCUGUUUUUUGUUUUUUGUUUUUUUGUUUUUUUCUAAGUAACAAAAAACAAAAAAAAAACAAAAAACAAAAGAAACAGAAGAGAAAAGAGUGCAUGAAUCAACUCAUACAUAUAGAGAAAUUGGUUUGUUUCAAUUUGGUAUUAUGGGUAUGAACAUGAUGUUAUGUUUUCAUUAGAUCUGCAUUUACCACCUCUCUUAUACUCUUUUUUUUUUUUUCUUUUUGUUUUUAUAUAUGUAGUGUGGAUGGCAUGUUCAUUUGGAUAAUCUACUAGUUGAUGCAAAACUUGAGAGGAUUAGAGAGAUUUUUAGCAGUUGUUGUAGAUCAACAACUGAGUAAUUUGAUUAGGGGAGUUUUUGGGCUUUUCAAGUGCUCUUUGUUGAUGUUAUUAUUGUGCAUUGAGAUUGGAAUCUUUGAGCUACAAUAGUGCAAAACUUAGAGGAUUAGAGAGAUUUUUAGCAGUUGUUGUGAGAUCAAGAACUUGAGUAAUUUGAUUAGGGGGAGUUGUUGGGUUUUUUGAAGUGAUUUUUGUUGUUGAUAUUAACUAUUACCAUGAGCUACAACAAUGGAUCAACCCAUGACAAAUCCAUGACCAAUUCUUAUACUAUUGAAUUCGCGAAUGGCGAUUCGGGGAAGAGCACUUCGCGCCACCAGAGCCGCCGCAAGAUCUUAGGCUCCUCCCGCGCGAAGCCGCCUCCUUCGAAAUGGGACGACGCCCAGAAAUGGCUCACCGGAUUUUCGGGCGGCGGCGGCGGUGGCGGUGGCGAUGCGCAGCACAAAUGCAAGCCGCGGAAUUCGAACGCUGAUGACCGGCGGCUGCUCCCCUCGCACUCGCAGAGGGCGAGGGAUUCUUGCAGCAGCAUCGAGGGCGCGUUGGAUUACGACUGCGCGGUCGCAGUCGCGGUCGGUUAUUCGCAAGAAGAAGGGGAGACUAAGAAGAUAGACUGCAAUGAGCUGUUCUUGAAGGCGCAGAAUCGGAAUCCGAAUCCGGUGGAGGAAUCGGUGGUCGGAGUUAGAUCCGUCUUUUUGAGGGAUAUGGGCACGGAGAUGACUCCCAUCGCGAGUAAGGAGCCGUCGAGAACGGGCACGCCGAUGAGGGCUUCUACUCCAAUCUCUUCGAGGUCGUCGACGCCGGGGCGGGUUCGCCAGGGUGGAGCUCCGGUGAGUGAGAGGAGCAGUGAAGUAGCGGCGGCGGCGAAUUACGGGAGGGCGAAUGGGAAUAGUUGGGUUGGUCGAGGGGGAGGGGAGGCGGAUUGCGUCGAGAAAUUGGAGAAUUCGGUGUCGUUGGCGAUGGAGGCGAGCUCGAACUCUUUGGAGUCCCGGGCGAUGGCGUGGGACGAGGCCGAAAGGGCUAAGUACAUGGCAAGGUGCUUACAUUCGAUCCUUCGAUCUCGAAUUGUGUUUGAUUCUUUUAGAAUUGCAAAUUGGAUCAAUUAUGUGAUGUUAUGGCCACAUUCGGUACCAUUUGGAUUGAUUUUGUGUUAAAAACUCCCCAAAAGAAAAGAAACAUCUUCAAAAUUCGAAUCUCGAGUUCUUACAAUGAAAGUUUUGAGUCCUUUGAUGUAGAGAAGUUAACUGAUAAACAAUUUAUAGCAGCGAACUCAGCCCGAAUUUUGAAUCUGAAUCUGCGAUGUUUUCAGAUACAAGCGCGAAGAGGUGAAGAUACAAGCUUGGGAGAAUCACGAGAAGCGAAAAGCGGAGAUGGAAAUGAAGAAAAUCGAGGUACUAGAUUAUGUUCUUGUUGUUUUGGUUACAGUUCAAAUAAACCAAUGCUAUGUUUAAGCUAUCUUAUCAGAUGCCGGAAAAGUUACAUGGAUGUGUAUUUGUUACUCCUACCAGGUGAAGGCCGAGAGAAUGAAGUCGCGGGCUCAAGAGAAGCUGGCGAACAAAAUGGCGUCGACGCGGAGGAUUGCAGAGGAGAAGCGCACGACCGCGGAAGCGAAGCUGAACGAGCGCGCGGCGAGGACGUCGGAGAGGGCGGAUUACAUUCGGAGGACCGGGCACUUGCCCUCAUCCUUUUUCUCCUUCAAGUUGCCCUCUUUAUGUGGUUGAGAACUUGCUUGUGAACUCAUCAUACUUUGUCAAGUGAGCCAAUAAUAACUGUUUUAGUCAUAUGUAUUCUGCUUGUUACUUCAGAGAUAUUGCAUUGCAUUAUACUCUCUUUUAGAUCUUAUAUAUUCCUAUGUCUCAGCUAUUUAUUAGGUUUGCGGAUGAUAGUGAUUUGAACAUUGUCGAACAUGAAUCUGCGAAGCAUCAUCGUUCUCUGACAGCUUAAGUUUUUUUAGAAAAAAAAAAAUCGAGCUAAUUGGGUUUUCAGAAGCUGGUUAGCGAAAAAUUCAGAUGAUGGCCAGGGGCUUCAGUUAUGCCUUCACCUUCUUUGCAGUCACUAUUUGUGAUCACUUAUGUUGAGAUCUGAUAAUGCAGAAAUCAUAGACGGUUCAUAAAGUUUUGCUGCAGUUUGAUUAAGGGACCAUUUGGUUGCAUGUAACUACAACUGUACGGCAGUUGUUACUGCAUACAAAUAUAAAUUCGGUGUUUGGUUUGAUGUGUUUAACUUCAACUGCUGCAGUAGAAAUUGCAGGAGAAGGUCCAACUGCAACAGUUAGAAUUACUCCCUACUGCAGCAGUUGGAGAGAGUAACUUUAAACAAAAAAUAAACUUAUCUCCUUAAUUAUUUUUUAAACAAUUUUUUUUUUUUUUACUUUAGAGGUAAUCUCACCAUCAUAUAUAUAUAAAUUAUUUCUCAUCUGUCCGCAACCAAACAAAUAUUUAUAGUUACAGCACUUUCUAAUAUAUCCAACCACAUGUGAUGCAUUUCCAACUGCAUCCCAUCUCUAAUUACAUUGCAUUUUUAAUUACAUCUAAUCAAAUGAUUCUUAAGUACGAUUUAAAAUUUUUUUUAUUGUAGAAAUAAAAAAUUUCAAAUUAAAGUUUCUGCUGUUAGAGACAAGAGAAAGCUCAAGAGUGACUUUAAUUAGAAGUGCUUGCGGUCAAUAUUUGCUAUUGCUAAUAUUUUGUUUAUUGUCCAGAAUAUGUUGCAUUUAUGUUUCCUUUUAUUGUUUUGGUCUAAAUUUUAUUCUAAAAUCUUUUUUUUCAGCUAAUAUGUACAAUUCAUUUAUAGGGCUCAUUUGGAUACACAAAAUGUCUUUUUUUUUUUUCCUUUACUUAUGGUGAUCAUAGUGUGCAGAUUAGUAAGAGAGCCUACAAUUGUAUAGUUUUUGUGAUUUGUAAGUUAUUUUCCUGGAAACAUGGUAAAUCACAACGUAGUUUAAAAUACAUUAUGCGAUAAAAUUGUCGGAUUGUUGGCACUAAUCAUUAAUUCCAAAAAUUCGAGUUAUUAGAAAUAUGCAACUAAUUCACUUAAAGCGUACAGAUACAGCGCCCACGAGUCUCGAUUGUGACUCCGCCCAACUAGCCUCACGCCACUUCGAACACGACUCGGCCCACCCUGCCUUACGCCAUUUCGAACAUGACUUGAUCCAACAUGGCCUCUCGCCACAGGGUAGGAUGCUGACCCAUGUAAGCCAACAAAAAUCAUAAUUAUAAGAAUCUUACAAUGCACUAGUAUUACCCGAUAACUUUUUCCGACAUUCAACAAGUUCAUAGUCUUGUUGAUUUUAUUUUGAAUCCUUAAGCGCUCGUUCUGCCUCGAAGACUACUAAAACACUGUUGGGUCAACAGAAGUGGGAGUAAAAGCACGUAGAGAGAGAUAUACUUUUUUAUUUUUCAGUCAGAUCGUAGAAAAUCAUAUCUUAAACGAAGUAGUGCAGCCCACGUCAAAUUUAUUGCGCAUGUGAAAAAUGCUGCGCCUCUCGAAUCGUACAUCUAUAUCUAUACACAUACAUUAUUUCUCAUAAACUUUUGCCACGUGGCAGUACUAUAGUCCCUCCUUUUUAAAAUUUUUAACGUCUGUCUCUUCGGCUUUCCGUCUCAUUAAUUUCUUCUAUGUAACUGUCUCUUCGGCUUCUCGUCUCAUUAAUUCCUUUUCCGUCUCAUUAGUUUUUAUUUUUUAAGAGGCGUUUCCCGAGGAGCCCGUGGACACGGUAUAUACCAUCCUCGACAAUAACCUUGCCUACUACGUCCGCUCCAACCGCAAGCCCCACAGGCGCACCGCCCUCACCCUUGCCGUCAAUGUCACCCUAGCUCCUAACCCUCCUUCCUCGAUCUCGACUACUUAAAUUUGUAAUGUAUAGUUAUGCAAAGGGUGUGUAUCCCUUUCCUUUAAUGACAUCGGAGGACGAGAAGUAUCGGCUAAUAUAUGGACUUACCGAAAAGGGGUUGAAAGUACUGUGAUACUUUACAAAAUCGUCGGUAUUAGUAACGAAUGUCAUAAAUGAGGGUACAAAGGGGUCCGAUUUUUAUGUAACAAAUUUUUUUUUUAUCUUUUGUUGUUUUUCAUUGAAGUAUAAUUCUAUUUUAAAAAUUUUAAAGUAUUUUUUAUAUUAUUAAAUUUAAUCAAAUAUGAUUAUAUCCGCCGCGUCGCGUGGGUUCCUACACUAGUGUACAUAAAAUUGAAAAGCUUUUUUACUCUCUAAAAUAAUGUGUGAUCCCCACCAUUCAUUCUUAUAUGCGUGAAUCUCACGACAGCCCCUUAAACCUUGCGGAUGAUGCGAUUUUAGCACGUAAUUGUGCGUGGGCAUAAAAAUGGCCUUGCUUAGUGGGCCGGCCCAACCCAAAAUGUACGUCUAAUCACAGCCGUCCAUGAUCACGAUCACGAUCAAGAUCAUGAUCAUGAUCAUCAUAAGCAAAAUUUCUCCCAAUAUUUACAAUUCAAUGUGCACGUGCGCUGGCACGUGCGAGCGGACGCAAUAAUAAACCUGCAUAAGCAAGCAAACGGCCAAGACGCCGCUGCAGCAGCGUUCUCGUGCGGUCCGCAAAUGCUCGGCGGACUCCAUAAUGUACCCCAAAGUGUCCCCCCAAAGCUCAAAGGCAUUGCAGUGUUGUGUUUACUUAUUUGGACCAAUUUUGUCACUAAAAUUAGGUUGAAAUGUUUUAGUUAGAUUGCUAAAUUUUAAUUUAUCUCAAUUGGUACAUAGAUCCACAAUUUCUUUUUUUAAUUUUUUUUUUUAUAUAAGAUUACUUCGUCGUACUAUAAACAGUAUUCUUAUAAAAAAUAUAUAGAAUAAUAGCUGAUAUAUUUGUCACGUCAUUUUUUGAGACAAAAAAAAACUAUAUGGAAUUAAAGGAUGCAUUUACAAAUUUUAUUACCUUAUCUAUAAUACAAUGAUAUUAUCACAAAUAAUAAAAUUUAUUAUUUUAUAUAUCUAAUAUGUCAGUGAAUGGAUAAGAUUAAUUCUUGUAGAAUUAGUCUCUUCACUGAUUUAUUUUCAACUACGUCUGAUUUAGGCAUAAUUCGAAAUACAGUAGCUAAGCCUUUAGUUACAAAUCUAAUUGUAGCAUAUGGAUUCAACUACAGCAGAUAAAAUAAAUUUGUUAGAUUUGACUGUAAUUGUGCUUCGCUUGUUGCAUUUUCAACUACGUUAAUAUAAUACUUGGUACUUAACUAUGGAUCUAGUUGCAACAUGCAAAUACAACUAUAGGAAACAGAGCAAAUCAUUUAGAUUUGAUAGCAGUUGCGCUUCAGCUGAUGUAUUUUUAACUACGUUUAAUUUGCGCACAGUUUAAAAUAUAACAGUUGGAUUUUUAACUAUAAGUCUAAUUGUAACGUCCAAAUGUAAUUAUAGUAAACCAAAUAAAUUUUUGACUAAAUUAUAGAAGACCUUUUGUUAUAUCUAUUUUUUUACUUUUUCUCCCUAACCUUUAAGUUAUUGCAUUUAGCCUUUUUCCGUCAAGAUUUUAUUACUAUUCUGUCCAUUGUUUAUAAUUUAUACUGAAAUUAUUUUUUAAAGUGACAGAAAUAUAUUAAAAAAAUAUUUUUUUUAUAUAAAAAGUAAGGAUAAUUUAGUUAUUUUAUUUUUUUAUUAACGCCAUAUUCUUUUAAAAAUAUUUUUUAAAAUUUUAGAGGGGGCAAAAUAUAGAUCGUUGAAAGUUAGAGAGAGGUAUUAAAAAAGUGAAUAUUUAAUGCUGUAUUUUAGCCUAAAUUUUUUAAUGUAAUUUGAAAUGCAGCAAACCAAACAUGCCCUUGAAUUGGAGUGACAAUUCUGGGUACACUCACAGUGACUCAAAGCAACACCCUUCGCAUCUUAAAAUAUUCAACUCUCUCUCUCUCUCUCUAACUCUUCACAUCGUUGGAUCGACCAAACCAUUUCCCCUCUUCGUCACCCUCGUCCUCCUCCUCCGCGAUCCAAAACCCUAACCCUAACCCUAACCCUAGCAUUAACCUCUAGAUUCUCCCUGAUUCCUCUCGAUUCGGAUCGGGGAGUGGAGUCGAUCGAUGAUCGCAAGCCAUGCCGGCGUCGCCGAAGCGCUCCUCCGCCUCCUCCGCCUCCGCGGCCCUCCCCUUCGCCCUAGAGUUGGACGACUUCAAGGUACGAUUCCCUCCUUCUCAUUCUCGCUCUUGUGGAUCUCUAUCGAAGUGGGUUUCUAUGGUGAGGAGAGAUCUUUGUAGGGGGACUUCUCCUUUGAUGCCCUGUUCGGGAGCCUGGUGAACGAGCGCCUCCCGGAGUUCCAGGAAGAGGAUGGAGACGCGCCCGAUGGCGGUUUUGGCGGCGGCGGCGGCGGCGGCGACGCGCUGCCGAAUGGGAACUUACGCGCCGGGGCGGGGCCGCCGAUGUUCCCCGCGGUGGAUGAGCUCCUCACCCUGUUCAAGGAGUCGUGCAAGGAGCUCGUUGAUCUACGGCAACAGGUUUCAGCUUUGUACUUUACAAGAGAGAAUUUUGAGCUUAAUUUGUAGUUUCUGAAUAUUCUGAAUUGUAUAUUUGUUGAUUUUUUUGUAUUUUUUAUGUUAAAGAUUGAUGUUAGGCUUCAGAAUUUGAAGAAGGAGGUGGCGGUUCAAGAUGCGAAGCACCGGAAGACACUUGCUGAGGUUAGUAGGUGUGUGGUACUAUGCCAUACAUGGUGAAAUGAUUAUCCUUUUGAAAUGUUUGAAUUAUUGAAAGUUGUCACUUUGUACGAAGUUUGGCACUCAAUUGUUUGAUUUUUGGAUAGUUAUAUGUGUUUUGUUUGUAAACUCAUAGAGCUGUAGCUACAGUCAAGUUUUAGUAAGUGGAUAAUGUAGGGCUGUUUCAGUUUAGAUCUGGUCUUUGAUUGAGUAUCAACAUAAAGAGAAAAUUUUGGUCUGAUUUUGGUUGGAUCUGAUGUGAGAAAAAGGACUUUAACUGCUUUAUUGCUUCAUUAUUUAUUGUGCCUUUCAAAACUUGCACAAUUUGAAUAAAAUAAGUCUUUUUGAAGAUCAUUACUAUAUUCUCAAAACAAAUCAGCACAUAUUAGUUCAGAUCUCUCCAUAGUGGACUGUUAAAUUAAAUUGCCCUUAAUCAAUCUAUUUGUAUUUUAAAAUUUUUUCACAUAAUUUGAACUAGAAGCAUCAGAGUGCUAACUUUUCAUAGAGAAUAUUUAUUCAACCUAAUAUAAUCGAAACCCCUAAUUUUAAGGAGUUUUAAAGUCGGAGAAAAGGCUUCUAAAGGUUUCGAACUUUUAGCCAAAAGUAAUUCUAGGAAAACUGAAGAAUUAGUGUAAAUUCAACAGAUAUUGCUCCUCAAGAUUUGCCUUGAUAAAUUGCCUUUUCUUGUCAGUCCAGGACGUCAAACUGCAUGAAAUAGUCCUCGCUGAUCCAUAAUUAGUCUUGUGCAUGUGUAGGAUUUUUAAUUAGUUUCUUAGAAAUUUGGUUAAGGGUGUAAUCUCCCGGCUAAUAGUGCUAUCAACAUUGUUCUUGAUCAAUCAUCAAAAUCUGCGACUUACCGUUGAGGAUAGGUUCGCUUUUAAUAUUCUCCAUAUCAUACAGGAAAGUUUAACGACCUGUUGCCUUGAUGUUUGCAUAGUCAAUAUUGAUGAAUCAUUACAAAACUAAAGAGUUUGAUUGAAAUUUGAAGAGGAAUGCCAAGUUGUGGUACUUGGUACUUAUUUGCAAAUUAAUUGUAAAGGAAAAUGAACUUUUUUAGGAAGGAAUUUUUGCAUCGGUUGCUGAUCAGUUGACAGAAGCAUUUUAUUCGCAAUAUAUGUGUUUGUACAGCUACUUGGUUAUUGGACUCCUAAUGUGACGAAACAUCGUAAUUUAAGAAAGAAAAAAAAAAUUAAACUUCUGAACUUCUUACUAAAUAUUAAUCCAAAUUUAACUUUUCUUACCACAAAAUAACACAAUUCUUUUGAACUAUGGGAUUGUAGCAGGCUUUAAAGUAGGGCCCAGCAAUCAGCUGGUGAGUCUAGUUAAGUGGUGAUUUUGCAAAAUUGCUUGUAGACAGGUACCUAAGGCCUUUGGGUUUUUCUUGACAGGUUACUUGGUUGAUCUGUGACAAGGUUUGGUCGGUCCUAUAUGAUGUAUUCCUAGGUUUUGCCUGUUCAUAGCCUUGUAUCUAGGUUGAGGUUCUUACUGGUGAUUGCUUAUGGUGCCAUUAUUGCAUAUCUGAUGACCAUAAAGGGCUAAAGGAAGGAGGAUUACUAGUUGAUUUUUGUGAUAUCGUUAAAGUACUGUUAUAGUUGCUAGCCAAUAGUGAGGCAUUUCAUAACAUUGCUAUGUUGAAGAAUGUAGCAUUUCUACAUCUUUGAGUCGGUUAAAAUAUUGGUAAGUAGAGAGAGUGGACAGCGACCAUGUAAGCUUUUUCAUUGUUCUUCAUGUUAACACUAGUCCAGUUUUUUCUGUUUCUUAUUGCAACUUGCUGGCGCCAGUAUUGCUAGGACCUCUAGUGAGUUGAAAUGGUUUGGUGAUUUGGAUGAAAGAUGUGUUCUAUUCUUGUUAAGUCUAUAGGUACAGUUUGAUCAUUAGAACGUGUUUUCUUAGUGUAUAUUGCAGGGCACUCAUUGCCAUCUUUAGCUGCAUACUUGUAUUUAUCUUCAUAGUUUGUAUAUGUACGCGAGAGCUGGUAAAUUAAGGUAGUGGAACUUGUUUGGAAUAUGGAGUGGUUAAUUCAUCCCUUACUUUUAAACUCUGUAAAAGGAAAACUAACUCAAUCUGAAGUAUGCGACUUCCAUUUCUUGCAAUCAAUGGUCAGAGAUGUAUUGCUGAAUGUCUGUUUGCUUGUUCUUGUUCUUUAAUUGUUCUUAAGUUGGAAAAAGGUGUAGACGGCCUAUUUGAUAGCUUCGCCAGGCUGGACUCUCGUAUUUCAAGUGUCGGUCAGACUGCUGCGAAAAUUGGAGAUCAUUUACAGGUACAGUGGCUUGAUUCUUUACAUCAUAAUAUAAGUGGCUCUUUCUUAACCGAACCCUGUUGAACCUGGUUUAUGGUUUAAUAAUUUUAUUUAUUUUUGCUUGUCAGAGUGCAGAUUCCCAGAGAGAAACUGCUAGUCAAACAAUAGAGCUAAUCAAGGUGAGUAUGUAAAUAUUGAACUCUGAUGAUAAUUUAGGUUUUGUUCUUCUGUUAAGGCAUCCAUGCUGUAUGGUUCCAGUAAAUUUUGGUAAAUUAUCUUGCAGUACUUGAUGGAGUUCAAUAGUAGCCCCGGUGACCUUAUGGAACUUUCACCUCUGUUUUCUGAUGAUAGUCGUGUUGCGGAGGCUGCUUCAGUUGCACAGAAAUUACGUAAGCUCUUUUUUCGAUUUUUCUUUUGCCUUUUUCAUCUAGUUGCAUUUUUUUCCUAAUUUUGUAUGUCUAGUCAAAUUAGUUUUUUCCAUUUCUUCAAUUUAUUUCUAUUAGAUGUGCUUCAAGUUGGUUUACAUGGAUUUAGCCGUCCUUUUGAGUUUGAAAAGAAAAAAAAUUGCUCAUCCUCCUUGAAGUGACAUCAUGUUGCUAUAUGGUUUUACCACACGAGGACAUUUUAGAAGACUGCAAAAUUAGAUUAGAAAACAGAGAGGCCCCUCUUACCUUUUUCUUUCUAAUGGAUUGAGCAAAAAUAUUUUGAUGAAUUUGCCAUUGGUCUUGCUUUUCAUAUUGGAAAUCGGCCUCGCUUUAGGGCUUGAGUUAUUGAAUUGGUUGGUUUUGGGCUUAGAUUAUGUCUCUUUAAGUACUUGAGAGGUUUUCUUUCUUUGUAAUAGGGUCAUUUGCUGAGGAGGAUGUUGGAAGACAUGGUGUGCCAACGGCAGUGGGUGCUGCAAAUGCCAGCAGGGGCCUAGAAGUUGCUGUUGCAAACCUCCAAGAGUACUGUAAUGGUAAAUUAGAAUGGACAUGGCAUUUUUCUGUGCUUUUGGUUGCUUCCUUUUUUAUUGUUCAUAUCUCAUUUUGCCUAACUUUUCCAGAAUUGGAGAACAGAUUGUUGGCUCGGUUUGAUGCAGCGUCACAGAGACGAGAAUUAUCCACUAUGGCGGAAUGUGCUAAAAUUUUGGCUCAGGUUAGAAUUUCCUUAGUUUUUUUUGUCUUUUUUUGUCAUGGGCAUACAUAACUUGACACAAUUGCAAUUAUCUGUGAAUUGAUGAUAAAUUCACUAUGUUUAUAUUACAUAGAUUGAUACUCAUUUGACACGCGGUCUUGAGGUGGCUCAGUCUGGUCCUCAUUGCCAAUCUCGAUGGAAUUUUCAUAGUUAUCUUUAUAUCUUUUAUUGUUCAAUUCAUCUUUUGCAAAUAUCAGAGAAUGCUGAGUACUUCAUCUAUUAUCUAUUAUCUAUUAUAUGAAUUAAUUUAUGAUUUUUAUUUUUGGGUGCUGCCGGGGUGGGGGAGUGGGGGGGUGAGGGGAGUGGUGAUAUUCUGAGUUGAUUCCUGUCAGGUUGAAAGGUCGAGAUUUCUGGCAUUGAUUUUUGUUUUUGUACCUGAGACAUAUUCAAGCAUAUCAAUGUUAUUACUGCUUGGCCAUUUUUGCAACAGGAAAAAUUGCUUUUGCAGAUCUAAUCUAUUUUGUUCAAUUUUGCAACUUAAGAGGCUAAAUAUCUUUUCAUGGACCAAAAUUCCCUUGACUGAAAUCUUUAGAGCAUAAGUUAUAUUAAAAUGGGCAUCCCAUUCCGGGAAAAGAGACUUUGAGCUUAAGUUUCAAAAAGCAAAUAACGGCAUGCUGUAUUUAGUAAAUCUAAAAGUACUGGACAUAAGUUUAAAUUCUCCUUACCUUAUAUGACCCUUUUGUGUAUUUCGGGUUUAUAACCUUGGUUUUCAAAAUGCAGUUCAACAGGGGGACUAGCGCAAUGCAACAUUAUGUUGCAUCAAGACCAAUGUUCAUUGACGUGGAAGUUAUGAACACGGAUAUCCAGGUUGUCCUUGGUGAUCAGGGUUUGCAAGCUGGCACUACCAAUAUUGCACGUGGUCUUUCUACGUCGUACAAGGAAAUAACAGGUGCUCAUAGUUUCUGUUUCUUGAAUUUUAGAAGAGGAUUUUACAUAGAUAUCCCUGCAAAAUCAUCUAUUGACAGAGGUAUUGUCCAGUAAAAUCUGAAAUUCUAAAUGUACCCGUUGGUGGUGCAGUUUCUUACAAAUAUACCCUCACCUUAAGUUUGGGAAUCAUCCAAUUAUCGACAGGAGUUGAUUAGAAAAUGUUUUGCAAAGAGGGGAAUUUUUACAAGUAACAAUAUAUACAGAAGAAAUUAAGUUUUUGAAGGAAACAUAUGAAAAUUUAAAUUCUUCAGGGAUACAACUAUCAUUUAGUGAUAUAUAGAUAAUUAUGUUGGGGUACGUAUGUAAAUGGCUCAUAACAAAAAGGUUGGUUUGCCAUCACUUCACGGUAUCAUAACUAUAGAUUCUCCUUGCAGAGACUGUGCGGAAAGAGGCAGCUACGAUUAUGGCUGUCUUCCCAUCUCCAAAUGAUGUUAUGGCUAUUCUCGUGCAGGUAUGCUUUUGGAAUUCGUCAUGCAUGUUGGAAACUACGAAAUAAAACAGUUAAUUAAAAAAUUUGGUUGUUCGCGUUUCAGCGAGUGCUAGAACAAAGGGUGACCUCAAUACUUGACAAGCUUUUGAUAAAACCAUCCCUUGUGAACUUACCUCCUAUUGAAGAAGGCGGCCUUUUACUGGUAAGUCUUGCAGUGAGAAUUUCUUUUGAAAUAUUUGCAUUUAUACCCUGCAAGUUUAUCUAUUCACACAAGUAUCCAUUCAAAAUCUUUUAUAGAUUUAUUUAUAUAUGCUCUGGGAAAAUCUAAUUUUUAACAUACAUAGAUACCCUAUAAUAGAAAAAGUUCUCCUCUUUAGAAAGUUUGCUAAUACAAAACCGACAUGACCCAUAUGUUGGAUGACUCUGCCUCUUAACAUAGGGCUAUUUUUGUAAGAAACUGUACUUCAACUGUAUAUGUAAAAAUUAAAAUUUUACAGAGGUAUUAUUUGUAAUAGACGAUUUUGCAGGGAUAAGCACAUGUAAAGCCCUUUUGUUUUUCACUUUAUUACUUGUACUAGUAAUUGGGACUCUAGGAUGCUAAUGUUUGUUUUUGUUGCACUGACGCUGCAGUAUCUAAGAAUUUUCGCCGUGGCAUAUGGUAAGACACAAGAACUUGCUAAAGAGUUGCGAUCUGUGGGCUGUGGAGAAUUGGAUAUUGAAGGUAUUUGGUCUUAUUAGUUAUCACGUAUUUGCGGACUUCUGUAUUGGUGUGCAACUUGUUGACAUCGUUCAUUUGCAUCUUGCUAUCUUCGGUUUUUCAAUUUUUUUUUUGGUUCCUAAAUAUGACUUUACUAUUGAGCAUUAUUUUUUUUGUUUAAUCUUUCUUGAAUGCAUGUCUAUUUGAUUUGUUUCUGCUCGCAACAGUUUGCAACCGUGAUAUCUUAUGCAUAACUGGGAUGAUAGUGAAAAUUAAAACUGUAAAACUUGAGCCAACCAAAUCCAAAGUGAGUGGAACUUUCUUUAGAUUCCAGAUAGUAUCAAACAAGGGAUGACACACUAUAUGUGCUUGAUAAACUAUCAUCGUCAUUUGAAAUUCUGAUGAAAUGUAACAUGUCAAUACAUCUACUGUCAGUUAGAAUAUUGAAUAAACUAUGAAUUUGAUGAGUGAUACUUGCAACCUCCUCACAGGAUUUUAAUGAAAUACUGAGAAUAUCAGAAACUCCUUAAAACUGAAUAUUCUGAUCGUAAGAGGGACGUAAUGCCCUUAAUAACUGUUGAUAGUAGGGAUCAAGGAACCAAAAGAUGCAUUCCAGAAAGCACACAGUAGGAAAAAGGCUUUGAAGUUCCUGGGGUAAAAGAGAGGCUUUUUUAACCUCAACAAGCAACGGGUGUGCUGAAAAUUUUUUCCUGUGUAAGCACUAACCAUUCUUUGCAUUGAAUUGGGGCCUUUAUGGUUCCUGAAGGCUGAAAAAAUUUCAGAAACUUCAAUUUCGUUCAAGAGGACAUAAUGUUAGCUAUUUGAACUUAAAGGAAAAGAUCUGCGAAAGAUUGCUCCAAAUUUGCCUGGGCACUGAUGGCCAAGUGUCUUCUACUGUUUUUCUUCUACCAUCCUAUUUAAAGCCUUCACCACGAGAGGAUUUAUGUAUGGCAUACUAUACAUGUCUAAGUUUUUCUGUAGGCAAAUGUAAUUUCAUUUUCCAUAUGAAGCUUUCUUAUCUUUAGGCGAUGAUCCUAUUUAAAAUCAAAGUCAUUUGACAUCCUGUAAAUUAUUGGCACUUCAGGUCUCACCGAGUCAUUGUUUCUUGCGCACAAAGAUGAGUAUGCUGAACAUGAGCAGGCAUCCCUCAAGCAGCUAUAUGAUGCAAAGGUUUCUUUCUUCCACAACUCUUUUAGUUUCCUUGAAAUAUUGAAACGUUUAAUAUGCCUAUAUUAAAUAUUUGCUGGAUGAAUAAUUCUUGUGCUUGUUUCCUCUUUUCUUUAGAUGGAAGAGCUGCGUGCUGAGGCUCAACAACAAUCUGAGUCCACCGGGACGCUCUCACGUUCGAAAGCAGCAUUAAAUCCGUCUACCCACCAACAGAUAUCUGUUACUGUCGUAACAGAAUUCGUCCGCUGGAAUGAGGAAGCAAUAUCUAGAUGCACUUUAUUUUCUUCUCAGGUUUAUAUUAGCUUAUUGCCACUUGUUCCUGUUCUAAUGUGUUUCUUUGCCAUGAGUCCAUGACUAUUCUUUUAAUCUCUUAUGUAUUGUAGUAUCCCAAUGCUAGCUCAGAUACUAUCAUGAAAAAUUGAUAUUUUCAUAGCAUCUCCUUGUCUUUGUCUAGAAUCUAACUUACAUUGUUGUUUUACUACAGCCUGCAACUCUUGCAGCUAAUGUGAGGUCGGUGUUCACUUGCUUACUCGAUCAAGUAAGUUAAAGGGCAUCAUAAAUGGACGUAUUGGGCUGCACAAAUUUAUCUUUGUUAUAAAUUCUCUCAAUCAUUUUGAUAGGUAAGCCAAUAUCUAACCGAAGGACUAGAGCGUGCCAGAGAGAGUUUGAAUGAGGCUGCAGCAUACAGGGAUAGAUUUGCUAUUGGGAAUAUUGUUAAUAGAAGAGCAGCUCAAGCAGCUGCUACUGCAGUAUGAUUCUUCUCCUGAACAGUUUAUGCUAUGUCUAACAAAACAUUAAUAUGAUUGAGAUAAAUACAUAUAACGCCCCUACAAGAGUUCCUUUUAUGCAUAUUCAUGCAAGAUCUUAGUUUUCAUCUGUCCUUCAGAAACUAGAUUCUUACGUAUAUGCCCAUGUACAUGAUGAGAUGCCCCUCUUGGAAAACUUUUUAAUAUUUGGAACCAAGUAACCCCUUAUAGGUUUGUUGGUACUUACGGAUGUGAAAAUUCCGAUUUUCAAGCAAUAUAUUUGUAAGUAGGUGAUUUUGCAGGGAUGUAUGUAAAAGUGCUCAUAUGAAUAUAUGACCAUUUGAUUGUGAAAACUUUGCAGGCAGAGGCGGCUGCUGCUGCUGGUGAGACCAGCUUUAGAUUUUUCAUGAUUGCUGUUCAACGAUGUGCUAGUAGUGUGGCCAUACUACAACAAGUAAUCCACUCAAAAAUAGACACUGACUUGAUUACCUUAUAAUUGGCCGCAACACUACUGCUAAUUAUUGAUUGCCUUUUUCUCCCUCCAGUACUUCUCGAACACUAUUUCUCGGCUUCUGCUCCCUGUGGAAGGUGCCCAUGCUGCUUCCUGUGAAGAGAUGGGCACGGCAGUUUCCAGUGUUGAGGGUGCUGCUCAUAAGGGGCUUCUACAGUGUAUUGACACUGUAAUGGCUGAGGUAUGUAGAAAUGCCUUUUCAUUUACUCUCACUUGUUUGAUAUGAUUUUUUAGAAAAAUGCUUACUAAUUUUGGAAUAAUGCAUGUGUUAAAUGCUCCAUCUUCUGAAAGGGUUUAAAUAAAGCAAAGCAUUAACUACUACUUAUGGAAUGCUCUUUUUGUUUACUGUGGACUAGAAAGAGAAGCCUUGUAGUAUGCUCCUUCCAAAUUUUAUUCUGAUACUCCUUUUAGGCAUGGCAUUUCUCUUCAUGCAUGCUCUGUGAGAAAUAAUUUUAUGAUGCUUUCAAACAACAUUGGCUUGUAAAAUGCUCAGUAACAGUGUGAAGUCAGCUUGCCUUCUCUUGCUAGUAUCCAACUCAGAAACUACGCAACCACCAUACAUAUCAUGGAUGUCUGGCAACUCAUAAGUGAUAAAUACCCUCACCAUAUCACAUUUGUCACACUGUAUUUUUCUAGGAAAUUCUUUGAAUACAAUCAUUGCCUUCAUAUAAUAUGAGAUCAUUUGUUUUCAUCGGUGAAGAAUAUUGUUCAAAAUGAGCAACUAAAUAUGUGUAGUUAUCAAAGAGGCGAAUAACAUUUGUCCAUCCUUGUUCACAUGGAAUGCUUUUUUUAUAUAUUAGUCAAUAUAAUAUUCUAAAGACUUUCUAAAAAAUCAUGCAGGUUGAGCGGCUGCUGUCUACAGAACAGAAGGCUACUGAUUAUCGUUCUCCUGAUGAUGGUGCUGCUCCUGAUCACCGACCAACGAAUGCGUGUAUAAGGUAUAUCAUUUACUUCUUUACUUUCACAUUUAUUUUUUAUCUUUACUUCUAAUUUUUAGCAUUUGCAGAUUAGUAUGACUAGUAAUGUGCUUUUCCAUCGGUCAUUUCAGAGUUGUUGCAUACUUAUCUCGUGUUCUGGAGGUUGCGUUCAGUGCCCUUGAAGGCCUCAACAAGCAAUCGUUUUUAACUGAAUUGGUAUAGCUUUGCAUCUUAUUAUGCUCGUAACUUAUUGUACUCAUUCUUUCAUGAUGUGUGACAAACCGGGGUUUGCAAUUUUAGGGCAAUCGCUUACACAAGGGGCUGCUUAAUCAUUGGCAGAAGUUUACAUUUAGCCCCAGGUAACACCCCUCCUUUCUGUGCAUUUAUAAUAGUUCUAUUGGUUUUGUUGCUAGCUAAAUUUUAAAUGAAAUGGUGAAUAGGAACUCUCUCUUAUGAGUUUUAGCUAGUAUUUUAUAGGUGGUUUAGGUGGUUCUAUAAUUGCUGAAGUUUUUGUCUGGCACACUGGUGAAGAUGAUAGCAAGGAGAAUAAUAUAAGAUGUUUCUUUUUUUCUUGGUGGAUCUAUUUGGAUGUCUCUUGUCUUAUCCUCUAUAUAUUUUAGUUGCUCAAAUACUACGUGAUAUUAUCUUUCAUGGUCAUGACAUGUCGUCCUAUCAUGCAUUUCAUGAAAUUUUGUUUCUACUGGAGAAUACAAUGCUUUAUAUGCUCUUUGUAAUUUGGCCCAGCUAGAGCUUAUGAAGACGUACUGUUUGAGAAGUACUAACAGCAUUUUUUUUUUGGUUGAAAUUCUGGCAGCGAGAGGCUCAUUUUAACCUCCCUCCCUUGUAUAAGCUCAUGUUAACAUCCCUUUUGGGGGCCACAGAAGCUCAUUUAACUUUCCUUCUUUCAAAGGCCCCAGACCCUUUAUUACCCGACUGCCUGCUUUCUAGAAGCUUCUACUUUCUUAAGUAUAGCCGUUCCAGAAGUUAGGCCAGAUAUGCAUUAUUCUUAUGCCCAAUAAAAUCUUAAAAGAACACAUUGAUGUAAAAGUGUGUUUACUAUCAAUAUCAAAAUUGUUAUGUUUUCACGUAACACAGUAAUCAUCUUGUGAAGUAGCACGGGAUACCAUUCAAAUCUUAUUAAUUCACUUCUAAAUUUUAUAACAUAGAAAAAUCUAUUUAUUCUUACCUCUCUCUCUCCCUCUCUCUCUCUCUCUAUAUAUAUAUAUAUAUAUAUAUAUAUAUAUAUAUAUAUUUAUAUAUUUAUUUAUUUAUUGUAGCUUCUUUUUGGUUGUUUAAGCCAUAGAUUAUCAAUUAUAAAUUUGAUCCUUUCUUGCUUUAGUUUGUCGCCACUUUAAUGCUUUCCGGUGUUAUGAAUUUACAAAAGAUAUUACAAUCUCACAAUAUGAGCUUUUCAUGGCUACAUAUAACGUAUUCGAGUAUUUCUCGGAACUAAAGACCAGUUCAAUAUGAAGAAAUAGAUUUCAUCAUGUUUAGUUUUUCUUUUUGUAGUCUCGAGGUUUCUCAUGCCUUUGUCAGGUGAUUAGUCUCGUGAGUAACUUUUGAAGCCCCUGGUUACUUCUAUACACCUUGCUAUGAAAUUUAGGAAAACAGAAACAUAAUUUCUCGGUAGUUUUUCUUCCGACUUUUGUAAUCUAGAGUGUUGGAAUUCUCGAACUAUAUAUAGAAACAGUAUGAAAUUGAUGCACAAUUAAAAUCGUGUAUUUUCUAUUCACUUGCCUUUGCUAUUUGGACCAGUUUAAACUAGGUAUUUAUUUUAUUGUACCGUUUCUUAUUUGCAGUGGUGGGCUUCGGCUGAAGCGUGACAUUACGGAGUACGGGGAGUUUGUUCGCAGCUUUAAUGCUCCUUCCAUUGAUGAGAAGUUUGAAUUGCUGGGCAUGUAUGUGUAUUACUUUUAUCAAUUCCGAAUCAGAUAUUUACAUUAUCUUGACGGAAAAUUAUGUUUUACCAUAUAUAUGCUUAGGCAAACUCUGAAUCUCCGCACUUUCCCUAUAACAAACUUAAAAAUAUUUUUAUUAUAUACCCUUGCACUUUCAAAACUACCCGUUCUUGAGAACCUUUUCUAACUAGAAACCAAACGUUCCCACACAAUUAGAUCAUUUUCUGAUUCAUGAGAUUUUUUUUUUCUUAAAAGGAAUAAAAAUUGCAUUUCAUGGCAUAUAUUUUAAAAAUGAGAUUUUUCAAGGGACUAUGUGUAAAUGGAUGAUUUGCAGAGAAUUAUUUGAAGGUUCAUCUAUUCUUAGAAUAAGGAGGCUAACAUGAUAUUUCUUUUUCAGAAUGGCUAAUGUCUUUAUUGUGGCUCCCGAAAGCCUCGCGUCCUUGUUCGAAGGAACCCCAAGUAUCCGAAAAGAUGCAUUAAGGUACACGUUUUGUCCCUGCAUUACACACACCAUUUUUUUAAAAAAAAAUAAACUUCAUUGGGAUUUAUAUUCUCCGCUCGGAUUAAACCGGAAAUUUUGCAUUAAAAUGCAGAUUCAUUCAACUGAGGGAUGACUACAAGACUGCGAAAAUAGCGUCUAGGAUCAACAGCAUCAUGUCAGAGUCGUAAAUUUAUAACGGAGGGCGGAAGCAUGCAUACAUGAGGUAGGAAAAAGGCCGACACUUUUUGUUUGCUCCAAACCAAAAGGUUUCUUUUUCAUCUUUUUAAAGCUUUAAAACGAGCUUCUGCGAUUCUGUUUGUCCUCGGGUCUGUAGAGUUCUCAUCUGCAUUGUUGUGUUCGUAGAGACAGUUUAAAAUUCAUGUUCAUUCUUUCUAGCUUCUGGAUAUGUUUAAUUUUGCCGAGCGAAUUGAAAAAUCAUGCGUGUAAAUGAUUAGAACCCUUGAGGCUUAUUUCGUGAAUUUAGAUACUAUAUGAUCUGUGACUAUGAAACAACUUAAGAUUGUAUGAUAUGUUAAAUUCAAUUUAUGGCUAUUAAAAUUGUGUUUGAAUGAAAAUAAGCAAUCAAUUUCUUUCUCGUAUAAAAUUAGUAUGUUCGAUGUCUAAAUUUUAACCUUUAAAUUCUUACAUUUUGGUCCCCAAUCUUUGAAUUUUAUUAUACUUCUGACCUUUUUAAGUAAAUUUUUUUUUAGGUUUAGUUGGAUAAAAAUGCUACAUAAUAAUUGUUAGUAUAUAUAUGAGAAGUCCAAUUACCACUUACCUGGAAGUUACAUAGCAGUUAUGAGGAUAUGUUGCCUAACUUUGGUUGGGGGAUUUAAUCAAAAGGGUAUGAGAACGUUUAUGAUGCAAAUAUAAUGAAACUAAUUAUACCAUUUAAAAGGUUGGGGACCAAACUAGCGUGGCUUUUUUCCUUUUUUCUUUGGUCUGUUUUUUGGGAAGAUGCUUGUGGAGGUUUAUUGGGUGGCGCCGGAUAAUUUUUUUCACAAAGUGAUAUUAUUGUGUGCAGUAAUUUUCUGCAUACAAAAUUAUAAAAAAAUAGGGUUCGGUCUGUGUAGGCCGGUGGUAAUUUUAAGCGGAGGGAAUUGUCAUAUGCACAGAAACCAGGGUUGGUGGCAACUAAACUAACUGUUCUAAGCAGCGGUGGUAUCUAUACCAAAACAUUGAGAACUGUAGUCGGUGAAAUUACCGCGCGUGAUCGUGGUAGUGAAUGAUUUAGAAGCAUAAAGAUAAUUACAGUUCAACAUGAAUUGUCGCAGAACUAAUGAGUUUUAAGUGCUCCCUCAAAUUACAGUCCUGCAUAAAAUGAAAUGAAAUCGGAUACAUGAAUCCUCAAAAGAAAUCAACUAGGAAACACCUUUAUUUUAACAUAAGACAAAAGAGAGAAGAAGGGGAGAAAAAAGAGGAAAAUACAUCAUCAACAGCUGCAAAUAACUAGGUUUGAGUUCAACAUAGCAAAAUCCUCCUUGAGAGGAAUAGAUACCGUUAAGUUCUCACAUUCUGUGGCAGAGCAAAUCGUGAAAACCGUGGAAUCGAUCUGCGCGGUUUCAAACGUCAUAUGGAAAUGCUGUUUGGAAUCCCACGGCCCGUCACUCCCGGCCCCGAUGACGGAAGGAGAAGCUCAUAAGGCGGAAUCCCGGCGCCGGCCCUGUUCUUAAGAUGGAAAUCCUUGUUCCUCUUGUUGAUAAUGUCCUCUAUCUCGUCGAGCCUGGAAGAGAACUUAUCGUACAAUUCCAACACGCGCCGAUCGCUGAUCCAGCUCGGGUUCGACUCGCUCACCCGACCGAGAUACUCCUCGUCUGGGGAAUGCGUCGACAGAGUGUCCUGCACCGCCAUUACUUGCGUCGCCUGCAGUUGAGAAGGCACAGAAGAAAGAAAAACUUGCUGAGGAUUCAGUAAGAAUUUCUCGUACUCGGGCUCGUCUUCCUGAGGAAUGAGCUUCUUCAUGAGCGUCGGGCGGUUGGGCAUGUACCCGCCGAACGGGUACUGUCCAAAGUUUAUUGCGGCAUGUUGCCCCGACGCGAUCCAAAUCAUCGUCGUCAGGAUCUGGACCAUAUCCUUGUCGGUUUUAAGCGUCGGCCACCACGGUUCGUUCUUUUUGUCGGCGUGGCCCUUGUUCUUUAUUUCCUCCCACCAAGAUUGGAGCUCUACGUCAGAGGAUACCGAAUUCGGGUCGGGAUAGAAGUGAGAGACGUAAUCUCCUACCCACUCUUGGAUUGCGGACCAGAUGAGGAGACCGUCGGCAGCAUACGGAUAGUCUUCGAGGAUGAGCUUUACUCCGCAGGGCAUUGAAGGAUCUUCCACAGCCAUGCCCCUGAAAUGUGGGACAAUUUUUCCUUUGUAUAUUAGCACAUGAUUCUUACAUUUGUGUGAAAGCCGAUAAUAGUUUGUGUAAUGACCCGACCGACUAGCAAUAAUAACUCGUUGGGCCCAAAAUGCCAGCCUAAAAUGCUUAAGCUCAGUUAUUAUUACUAGUGUCCAUGAUCUCUUAUAUACCAAAUCAUAAUCUUAUUCCAUUCGAUGUGGGACUAUUGAGGCGUCACAUUCUGAUAUAGUAAUCCGUCGAAACAAACGAAAACUACGUAAAAAUUUACCGAAAUUAACAAAACCGUACCUCCGAAGAAGAUCAGCGGGUAGAGCCUCCAUAUCGAAUCUCCACAUACUCUUGUACGCAGCUGCGCUCAGCUCCAUCGAGUACUUUCCAGGAGUGAAGCAAUUCUCGAUGAUGCCGCCUCCGUUGAUCAAACUCUGGCGCGCCAACGCAUUUAUCUCCAUGGUGUAUCGCAUGUGCGGAUGGAGCAGCUUGAAUAUCGGGUGCAUGGAGCUAAGCUGUCGGUGAGUCGCGAUGAUGUAUGGUUCCAUACAAGCAUGAGUUCUCAGCCUAAGAAAUGCAAAUUACAUAUAAUAUAUCACAAAAACAUGAACAAUAUAGUAAAGAUUUUGAAGUAUGAAAAAGCAAUACUAUAUAAAGGCCGAAUAUCGCCUUUUAAUAGCAAAACCGCGACAUGUUAUAUCACUAUUUUGUCGAUUUAUAACAUAGACAAAAUGCUCUCAUUUUCAUGAUGUGUAAGCAAUUGCUUCUUCACAAUUCAACACCAAAUAAAAGACUUCGUAGAAACUAGAAAUCAAGUGCUUGAGACAUUUUGGAUCAAAACGAAAAAGCUAGAGAACAGAAAUUUAACUGGAUCAAGUAAAAUUAACCUCUAUUAUAAGCAUCAAGAUGGAUAAAGAUAUGAUACUGACGAAAAAAACAAAAACAUACAUGGUAAUAUGCUUCUUUGAUCCUUUUUACGUUGAAUUUAUA
rnacentral:lncRNA from 1 species